rnacentral:lncRNA from 1 species
GUCGCUUUGCAUGAAAGUGAAGGGAACAUCGCACUUACCUUUGGUUGCAAUGAGGUUAACCGUCACCUUAGUCAUCGCAGGCACAACAAUUUUGUGUACAACGUCUACUAAAGUUUUCGAUUCUUUGGUCUCUUCCCACUUGACAUCUGAGUGAAAUUCACCGGACAUUUCAAUAUUUCCCUGAGAAAUCAAUGGUACGUUGAAUUCCAUUUUAGCUUCCAUUGCUAACUUGAGUGAAAAUUUACUCUUCCAAGUACUAGUCUUGAUAUCUGUAUAUGAAAGCUUCAUGUCCAUAUGGGUAUGUUCUUGGGUAUAGUUACUAGCAAAAUUCUUGGAAAUAAUGAAGGUUGUUUCGUCGUAAACCCUGGAAUUACCAAGAUCAUAUUUGACAUCAUAGAUAUCCCUUGUCAAGACUGGCUCUUCCACUAUUAGCUUGCCUUCUUUGGUGAUGGUUGGGACAGUUGGGCUAAGCCAUUCCACGUUUGACAGGGCAAAACGUGGUGCCAUCAUUGUUGCUAGGGUCAUCAUAUCCUACCCAAAUCCAUUUCGGGUCGGCCCACCAAAACUUUCCAGCACAAAUGGAUUUGAUGUGAACUUUUCCAUCAUCAGUAACAAAAGUCUCGCAUGCCACAGUUGAGUCACCAAUUGUCAUUUGCUGAAAAUGCUUAAGUAAUUUUCACGAACACACAGGUACUUGUUAUUUUUUCCUUUGAAGGCAACGUACUUUGGCAAAACCACUAACGCCUUACAAUCAAUAAUGCUGAAGAUAUCAAAGCCAUUACUAUCAAACUCCCGGUAGUUUGCCGACACGCAGCGAUUAAGUAUCAGAUCACUCCCUAGCCAUAAGCAUAAUGGUGAAAAUUUGGCCAACCAUGCUGCUGUUAUAUUUAGUGCAUGCAGCUUGUAAAUAUGCUGCAGCACGUAUGCUUGCUGUAACAACAAGGUUGUUUAGUUACUUUGUUAAGCUUCUUAGUUGAAAAUGAAUUAAGUUGGUAUUGUUUUGAUGUUUUUAGGUACUGAAUGACAUAAUCAGCUUGUGUGCAAGUUAAGUUUUACAUGUUUCAAAGCAUGAUUUGUGGUAGUAGGUAGUAUUUGGUGAUGUAUUUGACUAUAAAUGUAUUGUUUUUUCUAGUUGAAUGAAUGAGCAAAAUGAGCUAUCAGCCAUAAGCUCCUUUGCUGCACAUUGGUGAGCAAGUAAAAAUAUUUCUUGCUUCUUGCUUCAUUGUUUUGUGCUCUCUGUUUUCUUCCUUUGCUCCUCCUCAUCCCCAAAAAAUGGUAUCAUGAGCCCAAGUCUUUGAGGGCUUGUUUUUGCUUCUGUUGCUUGUUAAGAAAGACAAGAAGCUGUUAAAGCCUAUCAUCUUUGAGGGAUGCUUGUAAAAAAGAUAGCAACAGCUCACUCCUAUGAGACUCCCAAACAAGCUUGGGAUAAGCUGAAGGAGGAGUUGAUGGAGUAUGUCCAUGAAGACACUCCACAGUAGGAGGGACUAUGUGCAAGAAGAAACUGUAAUGAACAAGGAAACAAGGCAAGAUGUGUUUGAAGGUAACUUGUAAACCAAGGCUGUGAAGGAGGAGAAGACUCCAUUUGAUAAAAAAAUAUUUGGCACAAAAGACUGGGAUAGUCAAGUGUGUAAGUUAGAUUUGGUUGAGAAUGAGGCCAAGGUUGAAAAUGAAUUGCUUGAGCAGAGUCAACUUGAAAAAAAGCAUCUAAGGACUGCCAAGUUUAAAAAACUUGACGAAUGAUUGGUAUUUGCAGCAUGGAGUCCAAGGAAGAGUGUUGAAAAUUGGCCAACCAUGCUGCUAUUAUAUUUAGUGCAUGUGGCUUGUAAACAUGCUGCAGCACAUAUACUUGCUGUAACAGCAUGGUUGUUUAGUUACUUUGUUAAGCUACUUAGUUGAAAAUGAACUAAGUUGGUAUUGUUUUGAUGUUUUUAGGUGCUGAUUGACAUAAUCAGCUUGUGUGCAAGUUAAGUUUUACAUGUUUCAAAGUAUGAUUUGUGGUAGUAGGUAGUAUUUGGUGAUGUAUUUGGCUAUAAAUGUAUUGUUUUUUCUAGUUGAAUGAAUGAACAAAAUGAGCUAUCAGCCAUAAGCUCCUUUGCUGCACAUUUGUGAGCAAGUAAAAAUAUUUCUUGCAUCUUGCUUCAUUGUUUUGUGCUCUCUGUUUUCUUCCUUUGCUCCUCCUCAUCCCCAACACAUAAAUUGCACCCUCAUUGGACAUGCACGAUUCGUACCGUACCAGUAGCAUGGUCUACAGGGACAAACUUGAACAACGUACAUGUCUCCUUGGAUUGAUGUUCCUCCUUGUUUUGGGCAGUGGCGGCAAUCUAGUAAUGCUCCGUUGGGACUCCGGCGAUGGAAACGGUUUUGGUUUGUUGCCAAUACUUGUUGUUUAGGGAGCUUUUUAUAUGCACCAAGUCAUUUGUGUCAGAAAUCUCCACUUCGAACUUAGCAUAUGGACUCACGUACGGCUUGAGUUUCAAAGAAUUUGAGAAACCCAAGGUUGUUUUCACCUUCACGUUUAUAGCUUAAGUAGCCAUUAUUGUCGCGGCUUUGAGGACGAUAAACUUGGGCAAGGUCAAUGCCAUUUGAAUGGAUGAUUCUCUUUGUUGUGUUUCACUUUCACUCUUGUGUUUUGCUUACCACAACGAGUUUGGCUACCAAUUUAUAUCUAUAACAAAAGGGAAAUAUUGUCCACCACAUGGAAAAUUUGUUAUCUCGAAGGUUGGGUGGAAAGUUUAACUAGGUAUGGAACAAAAUGAAAGUGAGAACAAGUUUAUUUAAUGAUUUAUUUAAAGUAAUUAGCCAUUUGAUGAUUGAUUUAAGAUUUAAUGAGUAGGGUGAAAAUUUUUAAAAUAAAAUAAUAAACUAAUAAUUUUAAUUGUAGUUUUGAAAUGAUCUUUUUAUAAGUACAAUUUGUAUUUUGGAAAUUGAUUGAUGGAUAACAAUCAACUCACUCAAAGGGAAAUGAUUGUAUGAAACGGUGACGCCACGUUUUCUGUAUUUUUAAUACCACAUCAAUAUUUUUAUUCUGAAUAAAAAAAUCAAAUCUAAAUGAAAAUCCUGAAAGUCAGGAUAAAUUUAUUGAUGCAGCGUUAAACUAUUGCAAAAUAAUAAUAUCCAUGUUUAUACAAUCAUUUCUCAUCAAUAAAGAUAUAAUGGAUUCUUUACAAAAUCUUUCAUUAGUUAAAUUAAUAAAUAAAACUAAAGAAUUUAGGAUGAUGUGAAGAAGUGGGUUUGCUUCUUGAAUUUAUCUUUCAUUGUUCAUCACUCAUGCGUUGGGGUACAUAUAGGGGAAGAUCCCUUUUUCUAGUAGUGCCAUGUCAUCAACAAUAGAGAUGGUGGCCCGCUUGUGUGAUCAGUCAAGUGAAAGGCUCAUUACAUGUCAAUUGUCGUCAAUCGUAGUAUUGUAUGGAUUUAUCUUAACAUUUCUUUUGUUGAUAUUGUAUGAGGUUAUUAUACCUCAAUGGUCUUAGAGGAUAAAAGUGUGCUGCCAAAAGUAGGUAGCCUAAUGGAGAGUCUAAUGGGUGGUCAAAAGCGGGCGUCCUCCCUAUGGAUGGUGUGAAGUACAUGGAUGGCUAGUCAAGAAUGACCAACCUGAUAGUCUCCAUUGAGGGUACAAGGGUUGGGGGCCACCCGUGGGUGCUUUCCAAGCCACUCCUUGUGCUACCACAUUCCAAGCUAGGGUAGGUGUGUAACAAUUGCUCCCGAGGUAAGCUAUAAAGUGUCCUAUGUCAAAACCAUCUAGGUGCUUCCCCAACAGGUUGUAUGUUGAAAACAUAAAAGGGACGGAACGGGCGAAAUACUAUUGACAUCCAAUGGCAAUAACUGUUUCAAAACGCAAGUUUAUUUUUUGAAUACAAUUGGCAUCCGUACUAAGAGGUGUGCUUCGUUGAUGCUUUUGGCAAGACUAAUUUUUUUUUUAGAUGCUUUGGCAAAGGUUGGAGUAGAUACAGUAUUUAUUAUUCAUCAUAAUAUGAAGAACAAGUUUAUUCUAAACAAAAACACUAAGAUAAAAUGUAUCAAUGAAAAUGAGGAGGAAUGCUUUGUUCAUGCUUGAAGAAAUUUUCUGGAUUAAUCUUUGUCUUGACAGAAACUAAUCUAUCAAAAUUAUUCUUAAAAUAUUUACGGCCCCAAACGCUUGCUUGCUUCUAACUUGCCUUACCGUCAUCAUUAUUUCUUCCAAUAUCGAGAUCUCUGUAAUUAACAUACGCUGCUCGUGGAGAUUUUGAAACAAAAGGACCCAUGUAGCUAUAAAGUUUCCUCAUCCAGCUUAUAUACCUUUGAGAUCUAAUGUUUUCCUCUUCUUGCCAACCGAUGUUGUAGUGUAUCUUGUAUAACAUGCCUUUUCGAUGGGGGAAAGGAGUUUCUGUCUCUGAGAUUUCGUCCAUCAUUCCACCGUAAGCUAUAAAAGUUUGAACUGCUGUGCUUGCUUCGUUGACCUCGAGAAGUUGGGGCCAUAGCCCUUGAAAUGCUAUUUCAGGCACCGGUUCAUUCACGAAAUCAGAUUUUGAUUUGAAUGAAGGAGGAAGAAGGGACCUAUUCCUAUCGAGCAAAGCCUCCUAUUGGAACCCACCCACAUUGUUUGAAAAGUCAAAAAGGGUGGGCACCGAAAGUAGAAAGUAAGAUUGGUUGGCAAGUUGGGUUAAAAGUUGGCAUGGAAUAAUUGCAAUUUUGGUCCCUAAUUGUAUAGGGACAUUGCAAGUUGAUCCUUAAACCUCAACUAUAAAUAGGCCUAACCAUUUCUUACUUUCUUCAUCCCAUAAUUGCCAUUCUCUACUUAAGGCAUUAUUCUCUCUCUCUAUUUGUAAAUUUCACUUGUAAUUUUUGGAGUGAAAUAUAUUGGUAGUGCCCGAGGACGUAGGAAAAAUUUGCUGAACCUCGUUAAAAUUCUGGUUAUCUUUAUUAUUUGUUUUGCAUAUUUUGUGAAUGUGAUUGUAGUGAUUUAUUGUGCUAUUAAAUUACGAUAGAGGGAUAUUCUGGCUAGGAAAGACUUGGUAUUUAAGUGAUCUUCGUGAUCUACCUCUCUUUCCUUGGAAUUGAACUUAGUGUGAUUUUUCAGUACAAUAAUUUUACUCUUUCACACGCUUCCGCGCAACAAUUGGUAUCAGAGCUAGGUUCGUACUUGGGGAAUACGAUUAUUUACGGUACUAUUCACGUAUACGGUACUAUUCAUGUAUACAGUACUAUUCACGUAUAUGGCACUAUUCACGUAUACGGUACUGUUCACGUAUACAGUAGUUGGGAUUGAGGAGAAAAAUGGCAGCAGCAUCGUCAUCAGCAAGGACUACUGUGACAAAUGCAAAAUUUGAAGUAGAGAAAUUUGGCGGUACCAAUAAUUUUGGUAUGUGGCAAUGUGAGAUCCUGGAUGUCUUAUGUCAGCAAGAGCUAGAUAUAGCCCUUGAAGAAAAACCUGACAAGAUGGAUGACAAGGAGUGGGCCAAGAUCAAUAGACAGGCGUGUGGUACAAUCCGCCUAUGUUUGGCCAAAGAGCAGAAGUACUCUGUCAUGAGGGAGACAUCAGCGAAGAAGUUAUGGGAUACACUGGAAGAAAAGUUUCUAACGAAAAGUCUUGAAAAUAGGCUUUAUAUGAAAAAGAAACUUUAUCGAUUCACAUAUGCACCCAGUAUGUCGAUGAAUGACCAUGUGAACUCAUUCAAUAAAAUUUUAGCAGACUUGCUAAAUUUGGAUGAGAAAUUUGAAGAUGAAGACAAGGCAUUAUUGUUGUUGAAUUCCCUUCCUGAUGAAUAUGAUCAUCUUACCACCACAUUGCUUCAUGGGAAGGACACGAUCACAUUUGAUGCAGUCUGUAGUGCGUUGUAUAGAUCUGAGACUCGAAAGAAAGAUAAAAGAGAUCACAGAGAUACAACCGCAGAAGUCUUAACAGUAAGAGGUCGUUCACACAGCAGCAAAUCUGGUAGAAGGGGAAAGUCCAAAGGGAGACCCGCCAAAGAUGAAUGUGCCUUUUGCCGUGAAAAAGGGCAUUGGAAAAAGAAUUGUCCUAAGCUACAAAAGGGCAAGGCUAUUUCUAAUGCAUGUGUAGCGGAGCAUGAUGAGGAGUCAGACUUUAGCUUGGUUGGCAUGGCAAUGGCAUGUCAAACGGAUGAGUGGAUUUUGGAUUCAGGAUGUACUUACCAUAUGUGUCCUAAUAAGGACUGGUUUUCUAGUCUUAAAGAGCUAGAAGGUGGAAUUGUUCUUAUGGGCAAUGAUAGUGCUUGUAAGACAAUGGGAGUGGGUACAGUCCAAUUGAAGAAUCACGACGGCUCAAUCCAAGUCUUGACAGAUGUUCGCUACGUACCUAGCCUGAAGAAAAAUCUCAUCUCAUUAGGUGCCCUAGAAUCUAAAGGGCUCACAAUCACUUUGAGAGAUGGAUUACUAAAAGUAGUAGAUGGGCAACUGACGGUGAUGAAAGGCACAAGAAGAAAUAACUUGUAUUUUUUAAAUGGAAGUACAGUUAUUGGAUCAACAUCAACAGUUUCUACAAAAGAUGUAGAUUCAGAGGCUACUAGAUUAUGGCAUAUGCGAUUGGGACAUGCUGGUGAAAAAGCUUUGCAGACAUUGGUGAAGCAAGGCUUAUUGAAAGGUGCAAAUUCUUGCAAAAUGGAAUUCUGUGAACAUUGUGUUCUGGGCAAGCAGAAGAGGGUAAAAUUUGGUCCAGCAAUUCACAAUACGAAAGGAAUUCUGGACUACAUUCACAGUGAUGUGUGGGGACCUACCAAAGUAACUUCUUUGGGAGGUAUGCACUAUUUUGUUACUUUUGUUGAUGAUUAUUCAAGAAAAGUAUGGGUGUAUCUAAUGAAAAUAAAAAGUGAAGUUUUAGAUGCAUUUCUGAAAUGAAAGAAGAUGGUGGAGACUCAGACUGGUCGAAAGGUCAAACGACUUCGAUCAGAUAAUGGUACUGAGUACAAAAAUGAUCCAUUUCUACAAGUAUGCCAAGAUGAGGGCAUUGUGCGACACUUCACUGUUCGGGAUACACCACAGCAAAAUGGGGUGGCAGAACGAAUAAAUCGAACUAUACUGGAGAAAGUUCGAUGUAUGUUAUCCAAUGCUGGAUUGGACAAAGAAUUUUGGGCUGAGGUAGUUACAUAUGCGUGCCAUCUAAUUAACCGUUUGCCAUCAGCUACAAUAAAUGGAAAAACUCCUAUGGAGAUGUGGACUGGUAAAUCUGCUACUGAUUAUGAUUCUUUACAUGUAUUUGGUUCCACUGCAUAUUAUCAUGUAAAAGAAUCUAAGUUAGACCCAAGAGCAAAGAAAGCAUUAUUCUUGGGUAUAACUGAUGGAGUAAAAGGAUAUCGUCUCUGGUGUCCUGAUACAAGGAAGAUUGUUUUCAGUAGAGAUGUGACUUUUGAUGAAUCAACCAUGUUGAAGUACAAGGAUUCACAAAAGGAUGACAAAACCAGUAGUACUUUGCAGCAGGUGGAGCUUGAAAAGGUUAACGAUGAUCCAGCUAAUAUUGAAGGGACAAAUGAUGAAGAGGUUCCUACCCAAGAACCUCUACAGCAACAAGAUUCAAUUGCAUAUAGAAGGCCAAGAAGAGAGAUUCGUAAGCCUGCUCGCUUUGAUGAUAUAGUGGCCUAUGCACUUCCAAUUACAGAUGAUGAUGUUCCUUCUACUUACACAGAAGUAAUAAGUAACCCUGAUGGUGUAAAGUGGAAGCAAGCAAUGAAUGAAGAAAUGCAGUCUCUUCAUAAAAAUAAGACCUGAGAGUUGGUGACACUACCCAAGGGAAAGAAGGCAAUUGGAUGCAAAUGGGUAUAUGCAAAGAAGGAAGAAUUUCCUGAUAAAAAUGAAAUUCGAUACAAGGCUAGAUUAGUAGCAAAGGGUUACGCUCAGAAAGAAGGAAUAGACUACAAUGAAGUGUUUUCUCCAGUUGUGAAGCAUUCGUCUAUUCGGAUUUUGCUAUCCUUGGUUGCGCAAUAUGAUCUUGAACUAGUUCAGCUUGAUGUGAAGACCGCGUUUUUACACGGUGAUUUGGAAGAGGAAAUCUAUAUGACUCAGCCAGAUGGAUUCAAGGUUGCUAGAAAAGAAAAUUGGGUUUGCAAACUGACAAAGUCGCUUUAUGGAUUGAAGCAAUCUCCGAGGCAGUGGUACAAGCGAUUUGAUCAGUUCAUGAAAGGGCAAAGGUACACAAGAAGUAAAUUUGAUCAUUGCGUGUAUUUUCAGAAGCUACAAGAAGGAACUUUCAUAUACUUGCUCUUAUAUGUUGAUGAUAUGCUAAUAGCAUCUAAGAGCAAAGUUGAGAUUGAAAGAUUGAAGACUCAACUCAAUCUCGAGUUUGAGAUGAAAGAUCUAGCAAAAGCUAAAAAGAUUCUCGGCAUGGAAAUAUGGAGAGAUAAAGCUCAUGAUAGAGUUAGCUUGUCUCAGAAGCAGUAUUUGAAAAAGGUACUACAACAGUUUGGCAUGAACGAGCAGACAAAACCUGUAAGUACCCCGUUGGCUUCUCAUUUCAAGCUUUCUGCACAACUAUCUCCUUCGACGAAUACGGAACGAGAAUACAUGUUGCAAGUUCUGUAUUCUAAUGCAGUGGGUAGCUUGAUGUAUGCAAUGGUGUGUACAAGACCCGACAUUUCACAGGCAGUUAGUAUAGUGAGCAGGUAUAUGCAUAAUCCUGGAAAAGGACAUUGGCAAGCUGUGAAAUGGAUUCUACGGUAUAUUCAGAAGACCGUGGAUGUUGGAUUACUGUUCAAGCAGGAUAAUACACUUGGUAAAGGUGUUAUUGGGUACGUUGAUUCAGACUAUACCGGUGAUUUGGACAAGCGAAGAUCAACCACCGGUUAUGUGUUUACACUUACUGGAGGACCAAUAAGUUGGAAGUCUACACUACAGUCUACAGUUGCAUUGUCAACCACAGAAGCCGAGUACAUGGCUGUAACAGAGGCUGUAAAGGAGGCUAUUUGGUUACAAGGUAUGGCUAAAACCUUGGGGUUGGUUCAGGAGCAUAUUAACGUGUAUUGUGAUAGUCAAAGUGCUAUUCAUUUAGCAAAGAAUCAGGUCUAUCAUGCACGUACAAAGCAUAUCGACGUACGAUUCCAUUUUGUGCGGGAAAUUAUUGAAGAGGGGAAAAUUUGUCUUCAGAAGAUCAAGACUGCAGAUAAUCCCGCAGAUAUGAUGACCAAGGUGGUAACAGUAACCAAGUUUGAACAUUGUUUGAACUUGAUUAAUAUCCUGUAAGUUUAACAGUUGAAGAAGGCACUAUCAAGUAUUGUUGUCAAAGGCAGAAAGAAUUGUGUGAAGAUAAGAUUAUCCUAAUCAAAUCUUCAAGGUGGAGAUUAUUGGAACCCACCCACAUUGUUUGAAAAGUCAAAAAGGGUGGGCACCGAAAGUAGAAAGUAAGAUUGGUUGGCAAGUUGGGUUAAAAGUUGGCAUGGAAUAAUUGCAAUUUCGGUCCCUAAUUGUAUAGGGACAUUGCAAGUUGAUCCUUAAACCUCAACUAUAAAUAGGCCUAACCAUUUCUUACUUUCUUCAUCCCAUAAUUGCCAUUCUCUACUUAAGGCAUUAUUCUCUCUCUCUAUUUGUAAAUUUCACUUGUAAUUUUUGGAGUGAAAUAUAUUUGGUAGUGCCCGAGGACGUAGGCAAAAUUUGCUGAACCUCGUUAAAAUUCUGGUGUUCUUUAUUAUUUGUUUUGCAUAUUUUGUGAAUGUGAUUGUAGUGAUUUAUUGUGCUAUUAAAUUACGAUAGAGGGAUAUUCUGGCUAGGAAAGACUUGGUAUUUAAGUGAUCUUCGUGAUCUACCUCUCUUUCCUGGGAAUUGAACUUAGUGUGAUUUUUCAGUACAAUAAUUUUACUCUUUCACACGCUUCCGCGCAACACCUCCGAUGUUUCAUUUGAAAGUCCGUUCAUGAACAAUACAGAUUCAAUCCAAGUCAUCUCAAUGAAAUCUUCCUUAAUGAGCCCAAGCUCAGGGAACCGUUCUUGCAUCAAUGGAAUCAGCUCAUUGGCACCACCUUGGAAUACUGAAGUAAAGGUGAAUAGAACCGUCCUUGUCUCAUUUUAACCGACGUUCCAUAUCGCAACGAGUGAGUAUACAUCAUUUGGAAGAUUGGGUGCAACGUAUUGCCAACGAUGAAGAAGCUGUGAUGCAUUUUGUUCCAAGGUCUUGCCUACUGAGAAAACAGUCACAAUUAACGGAAUAUGAACCAGCUUUAUUUUCCAUGAAAGAACGAUCCCGAAGCUUCCCCCUCCGCCUCCUCGAAUGGCCCAAAACAGAUCUUACCCCAUCGAUCUUCUAUCAAGAACUCUCCUACUAGCAUCGACAAACUGCGCGGCGAGACCGUAUUUUGGGGACUAUAAACCAUCGCAUCCACCGCUAAUGAACCCACCAAUUCCUACAGUGUAGCCAAAAGCCCCUGGGAAGGUAAGUUUCGUGCUUCUUUCAUUGAUUCUGUAAUAUACUUCACCCACCCUGAUUGAACCCACGCCUCUUCGUUUUCGACAUCGACCUCGACCGAUUUAAAAUGAACCAAAUCGAUAGCAACAAAUGGGACAUGGGAGACAUAGGAAAGACCUUCGUAGUCAUGACCACCACUUCGAAUUCUGAAUUGGAGGCCAUGCUUUUUGGAGCAAUAAAUCGUUGCUUGAAUAAACAAAUAAAAUAAAACCUAUGUAAUGCUGACCAAAAAGAAAAUGAAAGUAAAUAAAUAACAUUAGAUGAAGUAUUAAAUAAAAUGAUUUUGUUUACUUUUCAAGUAAAAUAAAAAAUGAAUAAAUAGAUUAGGGACCAAAUUGAAAACGGACCAAAAUUUAGGGGUCAGAAUUGAAAAUAAACAAAGAAUGUGGCUCGGGCUAAAAUGAAAUGCGCUUAAGGGAUGAGGGAUCGACUGGGAAAUAUUCCCAGCCCUCAAACACAGCGUUUCAACUUGGACCAAAAUGAAAAUAUUAGAAAAUUAUGCGGUCAAAUUAUAAAAACAACAAAGACCCGAUUGCACAACAGCUCAAAAGAGGAGGGGCCUUCCCCGAAAAUAUCCCUUCACCGCAAAAACACCGGAUCCUGAAGGCCAAUGGGUCGGGUCACGGGUCAGGUGCCAAAACGAUCAGGGCCAAAACGACGUCGUUUUGGCACUUGACCCCUAUUGCCAAAAUGGCGCCGUUCAGAAACCAAUAUUUAACCCAAAAUUUUUUUUUGAAACUCUCAUUUUUACAAAAAUUUUAAAACCCUUCAAAAAAAAUUUUCCUCUCUUUUCUCCUUAGGGGCAUCCGGCCAUUUGCUCUUGGCCUCCACCGCGCCGUAUCUAUGGCCGGUGGCCGGGAUAGUGCGAAACGGGCCUCAUCAGCCCCCUCUUCACGGCGUCCUUGAGGGCUAGUCCCCCUCAGCCAUGGGACCGAGAGAAAAAGAAAGAAAAACACUCCCCGUUCGACUCCGGUGACGGCGAAGACGGGCUCCGGCACCGGUUUUCAGAGCAAACAGGUAUUUUCUUUCCCUUUUGUUUUGUCUUUGUGGAAAAGAGUAGUAAAAAAAACAAACAAACAAAAAUAAAAAAGGAAUACGCAAGAACAGAAAAAAAAAUUAAACUGGAAUCAACCUUUUUUUUUCUUAUCUGCCUUUUUAUUAACCAGCUGUGAAAAAGAAGAAGCAAUACAGAGAUAAUGAUCGGUCUUUUAUAGCCGAUUUCAACAACUCCUCUGUUUCUAUUUUAUUAUUUUGCUAUUUGGUUUCUUUUCUCUGCUGCGUUGUCUUGUCUUGCAGGUGAUUGACGCGGCAAGUGGGCAUGGCGGUUGUGUGAUAGACAUGCGGCAGCCCGGAGACCAAGAGUCCGAAGCUAUUGCGUUUCUAAGUUGACUUGAAUUUUUGGGCCUGGUAUUGGGCUUCUGUGGUGUUUUAUUUGGGCCAUACAUUGGGUCUGUAAUCGGGCUUAGGAAUUUUUAAUUCUGUUUAUGUUUUGUAUUUGAGGCCCGGGUAAAAUUGGGCCUUUACAGUACUCAAAUCCGGUGAUCAAAUUCAAUGUGAGGUGUUACAUCUGUAGUUGAUAUGUCCAAGUUUAUGAUGCCACAAGUUUGAGUCACUAAUGAAAGAUUUGUUGCAUUUAGUUUGGCUGAUCAUUCUACAGUAGUUGUGAAGUGACCUUGCCCCUUUCAUUAAGAACCCCUUUUUUUAAUGUAUAACCUCGUAACCAUAUUUGAUGAAGUUGACACGGUAUCCUUGAUCACAUAAUUUAUUAAUGGUAAUUAAAAUAGCCUUAAGUCUCUCCAUGAAGUGAACAUUUUUAACCUAGGGAUUCCUAAAUAUUGAGAAUGUCCAUCCCAAUUAUUUUGCUUUUCCUGCCAUCACCCAAUGUGACAUUUUUUACAUUGUAACUUUGUAAGUACUUCAAAUAAUGUUUAUUACCUAUCAUGUGACAAGAACAAUCAUUUUCAAAGUAUCAAAUCUUCUUAGUGAUGGCAUUUAAGGACGUAUGGACUAUUGAUGGAUGUUGAGUACAUAAAAAAUAAAUUAAAUUUGUAGUGUAGAGAAUAAGGUAGAUCUCACUGAAAUUGAACUGAUUGAUUUUAUUAAAGUUGAUUGAUCAAAUCGUCUAAACUGAUGACAUAACUGAUAAGACCGUAAAAAUCAACUUAAACUGAAAAACAGAAUUAAUGUAUUAUUAAGUAAUGAAAUUGUAUAGAGUACUUACUGUAUAUAAACAACGGUGAUGACGAAUUAUUAAGUACUAAGUUUAACUCGUACAAUGAAGACAAGGAGGAAUGCUUUGUUCAUGCUUAAAGAAAUUCUUUGGAUCAGUCUUCGUCUUGACAUAAACAAGCCUAUCAAAAUUAUUCUUGAAAUAUUUACGUCCCCAAAUGCUUGCUUGCUUAUAACUUGUCUUGCCAUGGUAAUUAUUCCUUCCGAUAUCGAGAUCUCUGUAAUUAACAUACGCUUCUCGUGGAGAUUUCGAAACAAAAGGACCCAUGUAGCUAUAAAGUUUCCUCAUCCAGCUUAUAUACCUUUGAGAAUUAUUGUUUUCCUCUUCUUGCCAAGCAAUAUUGUAGCUUAUCUUGUAUAAGGUGCCUUUUCGAUGUGGAAAUGGAGUUUCUGUCUCUGAGAUUUCCUCCAUUAUUCCACCAUAAGCGAAAAAGUUUUGAACUGCUAAGCCUCCUUCGUCGACCUCUAGAAGGUGGAGCCAUAGCCCUUGUAAUGCUAUUUCAGGCAUUGGUUCCCUCACGUAAUCAGAUUUUGAUUUGACAAAAGGAGGAAGAAUGGUAUACCUGUUGCUCCUAUCGAGCAAAAUCUCCGAUGUUUCAUUUGAAAGUCCGUUCAUUAACAAUAGAGAUUCGACCCAAGUCAUCUCAAUAAAAUCUUCCUUAACGAGUCCAAGCUCCGGGAAUCGUUCUUGCAUCAAUAGACUAAACUCAUUGGCACCACCUUGGAACAAUGAAAUAAAGGUGGCAAGAACCGUCUUUGUUCCAUUUUCACUGGCGUUCGUCGUUGAUAUCGUAACGACUGAGUAUACAUCCUUCGGAAGAUUGGGUGCAACGUAUUGCCAACGAUGAAGAAGCUGUGUUGCAUUUUGUUCCAAGGUCCUUCCCACUGAGCAAAAAGUCACAGUUGAAGGAACAUGAACCAGCUUUAUUUUCCAUGAAAUAACGAUCCCAAAGCUUCCCCCUCCGCCACCUCGAAUGGCCCAAAACAGAUCUUCACCCAUCGAUCUUCUAUCAAGAACUCUUCCAUGAGCAUCGACCAACUGCGCAUCGAUCACGUUAUCCGCCGAGAGACCAUAUUUUCGGAACAAUGAACCAUCGCCUCCACCGCUAAUGGACCCACCAAUUCCUACAGUGCGGAAAACAGGUGCUGGGAAGGAAAGGUUCGUGCUUCGUUCAUUGAUUCUGUAGUAUACUUCACCCACGGUUGCACCUGAUUGAACCCACGCCUCUUCGUUUUCGACAUCAACAUCGACUGAUCGCAAAUUAACCAAAUCGAUAACAACAAAUGGGACAUGGGAGACAUAGGAAAGACCUUCGAAGUCAUGACCACCACUUCGAGUUCUAAUUUCUAGGCCAUGCUUUUUGGAGCAAUAAAUCGUUGCUUGAACAUGGGAAAUGUUCAAUGGUGUUACAAUAACCAAUGGUUUGGGGGUAUUAGGCGUAGAGAACCUCUGAUUCCUAAUGGAAGAAUCCAAAAGUGCUGAAUAUGAAGAGUUCGUUUCAGUGUAGAUAACUUGAGUAAUGGAAGAGGAUUCCUUGGGAUGAUAUGAAUAAAGGCAUUCAAAAAAAUCAUCGUGGCUAUUAGCUGAAGCACUCACCCAUAACAAUGAGCAAGCAACAAUGAAAAGCAAUGACAGAGAACGGUGAAGGGACUUCAUGUUUAUGGAAGUGAUGAAUUUGUGAAGAUUUCAGCAAGAUAUUCCCCUUAUUUAUAGAGGCAAUGCUUUGAGCCGCCGUGUGAACAAAAGUUCAAGAAACCCAGGUAUUUGAAGUCAAUUCAUAUAUAAUAAUGGCACAGGCUGCUCAAAACUUUCGUAUUUAUGUUUUUUUUUAUAUUGAUAAUAAUAUAACAUUAACUAAAUUAGGACCCAAUCAAUUCUUUUUUUUUUUAAUUUAGAAACUACCACUUAAAAUAAUAUUUGAAUUUAAAUUUUAAAAUUAUUAUUCAUUGUGGAUUCGAAGCGGUCAACAAGAUAUUCCCCUUAUUUAUAGUGUCAAUGCUUUGAGCCGCCAUGUGAACCAAAGUUCAAGAAACCCAGGUAUUUGAAGUCAAUUCAUAUAUAAUGAUGGUACAUGCUGCUCAUUUCCUUGUCUAAUUAAAUUGGGUUUUUUAAUCACUCAAAUUUAUUCCAAAACAAUGGUAAAAAAAAUAAAUUUCUCUAUAACUGGUGUCGUAACUUGUGAACCAAACACAAUAUCUCAUCCCUAUUCUUAAAUACUCAACACUUUCGUAUUUAUGUUUUUUUUAUAUUGAUAAUAAUAUCAAUAUUAAUUAAAUUAGAACUCAAUCAGUUCCUUUUUUUUAUUUAGAAACUAUCAUUUGAAAUAAUAUUUGAAUUUAAAAUUUAAAAUUAUUAUCCAUUGUGGAUUCGAAGCGGAUGCAGAUAGAUACCUUAAAUAAUAAAUAUUCAUUAUUCAAAUCCACAUUACUUAUGCUUAUAAUUUUGAUUUUAUAUAGAUAAAUAAUUUUAGGGUGUUCAAUUUUAAUUUUUUUUAUAGAUUCAGAUAUUCAAAAAAUAUUGAAUUUUUUUAGAUUAUAAAUUCGAAUAUUAAUACUCAUAUAAUAUUAAAACAUAUUUACGAAAUCGAAAUUUAUUAAAUUUUUUUUGGUGAAAAGAAAAAAUCCUAAGAUUCUUUUACAAAAGCUAACAUUCUCUUAGUCAAUGUUUAAACUAUUCCUUGGAAAAUAAUAUGAAGUCUUACUCCUAGAUGAUUCACUACUACUAACUUUGUUGUACUGCUUUGCCCAGCUUGUUGAGACUUUAAUAACUUCCAUAGAACUCUAUGAGAGUCCUUGGGAGACAAAAAGGUUUCUGUUUUUCCAUAAUUGCCAUAUUAGGAUUCCGAAAAGUGUGGGCCAAAGGACUUUGUGGCUUGUUAGUUGACCAUAAGUUCCUAAAUUUCUCUUAAUUGUAACACCCCAUACCCAGCCUAAGAGUUAGGCCCGAAUCUGGCAUGUCACAUUGAAGUAUUUUUCAAAAACCAUGUUUUCAUUAAAAACCCUUCUUGAAAUUUCAAACUUCUUGCCAUUUAAAACUUGUAUAAAACUUCUGUUUGCGUUUUUUUAUUUUCAACCGAGGUUUAUUAAAAAGUUAUUACCUUCAAAACUUCUUGCCAUUUAAAACUUGUAUAAAACUUCUGUUUGCUUAAUUUAAAGCAAAUGAUUUACGAAAACGUGAUAUUUAUUAAUUGAGGUGUGGAAACGUAGUGUUAGAAAACAGUUAUUGUUUUGGAAAAUCGUGUUCUACUUCCAGCAGAUAUAAAUCACAAUCACAUCAAAUUCCAAAUUUAAAAUCCAGAUAUUAUAGAGGCCUUAUUACACCCCAAAUCAAAAUCAAAUUUGCUUUAGUAAAUGAGCAAAACAGAAUAAAACUUAUGUAGUUGUGUGGCCCUCUCUGAGUCCCUCGCAGCUCCAAACCAUCUAACGCUAGGGAUUACUUGAAAGGUUAUAAAAAAAGGGGUGAGUUUACGAAAACUCAGUGUGCAAUCCCCUAAAUAAAGAAACAGUCAGUAUACAGAAACAAAAACAGUUUGGGCCUGAGCCCUUUGACAGUAACAGUACAGUGUGGGCCUUAGCCCUAUACAAAAACAGUGUAGGCCUAAGCCCGACACAAUAUCAGUAUGCUGUAAGUAUGCAAACCCAUCCCAAUCCAGCCAACAUACCACCCAUACCAACCCAACACACCAUGUGGGGAUAGAGUCAACCCAUCCAGCCCUCACACUAAUAUCGCAGCAUAGCUGCCAGUAGUAAUAAUGCAGCAGAGCUGCCAGUAGUCAGAAUGGCUAAAAGCCGUAAACAGGAUAGCUAUAAGCUAUAAACAGAAUGGUAAUAUGAUUGGCACAAAGCCAUCAGUAGCAGUGUUAUGAUCGGUACACAGUAAUCAGUAACUGUAAUAUGAUCGACACAAAGCCAUCGGUAAUGGUAAUAUGAUCGACACAAAGCCAUCAAUAACGGUAAUAUGAUUGGCACAAAGCCAUCAGUAGUAUCACAGUAAAGCUACCAGUAAUAGUAUAUGUGGCCAAGCCACCAGUAAUAGUGAUUGUGGCAGAGCCACCAAUAUAGUACUUCCUCCAUAACAGUAUUCCAACCCCAUGCAGUAUGUCGUGUAUGCAGAAUGCCAUACUCAGAAUCAGUCAUACCAAACACAGACAAAGCAAUCAUUUACAUCAAGGACAAAUCAAUCAUUUAUGUCACAGACAAUUCAAACAUUAACCUCGAGGGGUAAAAUAGUCAUUUUACUCUUUGAGGGUAUAUCAGUCAAUUCACCUAGUAGAGGCAUUACAGUCACUUUACCCUACAGAGGUAUUACAAUUAUUUUACCGUAUGGGGGUAUAUCAAUCAAUUCACCUAACAGAAGUAUUACAGUCAUUUUACCCUAUAGAGCAUUAUGGUCAUUUUAUCCUACAGGGGUAUUACGGUCAUUUUACCCUAUAAGGGUAUUAUGGUUAUUUUACCCUAUGGGGGUAUAUCGAUCAAUUCACCUAACUAAAGUAUUACGGACAUUUCACUCUACAGGGGCAUUACGGUCAUUUUACCCUACAGGGAUAUUAUGGGCAUUUUACAAACAUUAGGGUCUCGAUACUUAUUAUAACCUUCUAAAAGGUCUAUCAUCAUUUCGAGCGACUCAGAUAACCUACACGGCUAGAACAGUGUAAUUUGGCCCAAAACCCGCUAUUAGGCCCAAAUGGGCCCACACGCUCGUGUGGCCCAUUUAGUCUAGAUUCACAUACGAUAUCACGAGCCUCAUAAACCAACCUAUCAAUGAUCCCUUACCAUGGAUUUUACCCGUGUGGGCCUACAAUCCCAUUAGCCCUACGCAACCCAUUUCGACUCAUCGAGGCCCAUAACGACCCCGGCUAUGCAAACGUCACAGUCCAAACAAUACUUACCACAUCAUAUACAUUUUAUCUGUGUGACCCACUGGGUCCACAUAGCCCAUUUCGGCCCAAUAAGGCCUAGAACAGCCCAAGACCACAAGAGCACUCGUGGUGGCCUCUACAAACUAACACUCCUAUUUGCAGGCUCGGUUCACCACACGCAUGAUCGCACAUUCGUGUGGCAUCAUAUAUCAUAUUUCUAGCUUUUCGGCAUUUGUCGAAUUACAGAAGAGACAGUGUGAUUACACACACUUUCAGCUUUAUGACAGUAAUGAUUUAUAGUGUACAAUUACACAUACCUGAAUACGAACUCUUGCGAACAGCCUACGAACACUAUUAAAACAAAGUAUUUAUCAAUCGCUUGACAAUAGGAUCUCAACCUUCCUUGAUAGUUAUCUGCAUAUAAAGCGAAUUUAGUAAUCAAUAUUGUUUAUGCAUAUGGGUUGAAUCUAUGGUUAUUAGCCUAAAGAAAACACAAACCCCAAAUAAGAGAAAAGCAUAUUCGGCCAAUACCAACCCACAACAACAUAUUCCAGUUUAGAUUAUUCAAUGCGAGUAGUAUUACCUUUGAUCAAGAACGAAAGAGAAGGGUUCAAUCUUUUCUACAGUGCUAAGGAAUUCUUCCACUCUUCACGAAUUCCUUAAAUCCGAAAGAACACCAUAAAAAAGUAAAAAAAAAAGAAGAUAAGAAUCGACAUCUAAGGAAAUAGAAGUGAAAACCUGAAAGUGUAGAGAUAUAGGGACCUACCAAUCGAUAUUCUGCCAAUGGAAACUAUUUGAGUGACAGGGAAGAGAAGUUAGAAUCGAGAGGAAUAUGAGAUAGUUCGAGAGGAAUAUGAGAUGGUCAUCCACCACGACUUAAGAGAGAGGGAGAAUAGAAGAGAACCGACAAUCAAGGACAAGGAAGAGGGUUGAUGGAACAAACAAUAUUCGACUAACAAAGGAGGAAACGUUCGGCUACCCAAAACCUAAAAUAAGUAAAGGCAAAGUACCAAUGAGGGAAAAAAAGUUGAUCCAGCAAAGAACGAUUUUGAAGAACAAAAACCCAAUUACCCGAAUGGACAAUAAUGGUACUCGGCUACCAAAACACACAAUACACGAAAGGGAGAAAAAUAGGACAAAAAGAGGUAAAUGUUUUUGAAAUGGAGAGAAAAAAAUGCACAACCUAUUUCAACACAAGAAUAAAAGUUAUAUGACUGAAUUUGUACUAUUGAAAACCCACUUUCGGCCAACUGCUACAACACCCCUAAUUCCACUCCCUAAAUCUCUUAACACCCCUAAUUUGAAACACUUUCAAACUUCUCUAAAUCUUUAUCCUAUGAAUCACUCCCCCAAGACCAAUUCCACAACCACCUGAGCAGAAUCCCACUACAACAUAGCCACUCUUGCAUCACAACUGCAAAAUAAAACCUCCCUUACUCAUCCCAAGACUUCAACCUUAGACCUCAUGCUGGCUGUAAUGCCACCUUGCCACUAGACCACCCACUCUUUUUGUGUAACCUUUUACCAUAUUUCAUUCUUAAGCCUAUUUACUUACUCCCAGGGUUUUAUUCACCUAAAACUGAAAUUUUUGUUACAGCCUAGGUUUGAAGUCAAGACUUCUGCAAUACUUCUCAGGAACCUUAACCACUAAAGCAGACAUACUUUUGUAUUAUUCACUUGCACAGCUAAAAUAUCUAAGAGUAAUAUCCUAUCCACUUCCAAGCUCAAUGCCCAAUACUUCUAGGCCCAAAAUUUGAGGCGUUACAUUAAUCCACUCAAGCAGACUGCUAGAGAAAAAUUGGGACCAUCUUAUUUCUAGCACGAUUAAUUUUUAAAUGUCCUUAGCAAUUGGGCAAUCCCUAAUAUCUUAAUUAAGUUGAUAUUGGUAUCAGGAUUGUUGAAGCAAAAUAAAAAUGAUAUUCGUAUACAAUAUUCUAAAUAGCAUGCAUUGGAAAGGAUUAUGAGCGUUACUCUAAUUUUAUGAGAAUGUAUUGGAUGCUUUUAUUCUAGUUAAGAGAAGCAUGGAGGGUAAGAGGUUUGGUUUUGUGAGGUUUGCUAAUCUAGAGAAUGUUCAAAGGGUAAUUUUAAGGCUAGAUGGUUUUGUGAUUUUAGGAAAAAAGGUUUGGGUGAAAAUAGCCAAAUUCAGUGGCAAAAGGAAGGCAUGGAAAAAAGUCCAAGCAAAGAAAGUUUUAAGCCAAAAAGAGAUGAUGUAGUCGAGAGGGAUAGGGUAUCAGGAAGAGAAAUGGGAUAAAUCAAAUGGUAAUACGUCAAAUAGAAGGCUAACGUCUGUUGAAAUAGAAAUAACAGGGAUGAAUAAAUUAAAUGUUGUUGAGGGCCAUGACGAGAAAGAACAACUAUAAAAACUUUAGCGUUGCUUGGUUAAGGAGACUACGUCUUUUUGUAAUACAUAUAGCUUGUCAGAAAGAAUAGUUAGUUUAGGCCUUAGAGAAUUAAAUGUUCAGAGAAUUCAGGGUAGAUACUUUCUAAUAGAAGUUCCUGACGAUGAGCUUAUGGAGAUUUUAAAGCAAAGAGACUUGCAUAUCUGAAAGAAUUUUUCAUCAAUAUAGAACCAUGGUUGGAAAAAAUUAAAGUUUUAGAAAGGCUAGCUUAAAUUGAAGUUGCUAGGAUUGCUCUUCAUUGAUGGAAUUACCAAACGUUUGGGAGAGUAGUUGAUUUAUGGGGUAAGAUAAUUGCUAUGGGUGAAAGGCUAACAAUGGUGAAUAGCUUUGAGAAGAUAUAUAUUUUGAUUUUUAUAAAGCAAGCUCACAAACUCGAAGAAAUGAUAAUGUUGGAAGUAGGCAAUGAGUGUUGGAUCGCCGGCACCCCUACGGCGCAGCGGAAAAAUUUAAUAAUCGGCGACCCUAACCACGGAUCCAUGUGUGAGGAACGAAUCGGGGUGAAAAGGGUUACGAAAUUACCUAAUGAUGUUCUGAGUAGACAUCAACUUCUCAACAACGUGUAGUCUGAUCUAAAGUCGAACUAAGCCGCAAUCUAUCGAGACUCCGACCUCUACGUGAUCCACCCAGUUAACUACGAAAGGAAGAAAUCCCCAAAACAGUUUUGAGAGUGAAUUUUCUUUGACGGCUGCUAGACCAAAACAAAGAAAAACGGGAUACUUAUAUCCUUAUUAUUUAUUUUUUAGGGUUUUUAUUUAUGAAUUAAAAUAAAUAUAAUAAUAUUUUAAACCGAAAAUUAUAAUUACAUUAAUUAUAAUAUAAUUUCGGUAAACCAUAUAUUUAUUUGAAUUCAUAUGCUAACCUCAUUAUGUGUACAACAACCUUGUACAUAAUGUGUUGGAAAUCGAAUUAAAUUAAUUCUAUAAUUAAUUUAAUUCAAGUGACACCUAAAAACAAUACCAACUAUGGUUUAUUCCGUUUAUUUUAACUAUAGGGUGUGACCUUGUAGGUUCUUAUAACGUUAGCAGUAAUACUAGAACGAUUCCAAUGUUACAAAUAAUGAGUGGCAUCUAGCAAUGCAUCAUUGCUACCUAAGUCACAAGAGAUCAUGAUUCAACAUAACCUUUUAUGAUUAACCUUUUAUGCAAUAAUCCUUAAGUCCUUUAUCUCUGGAUUGGACACAAGUCAUGGAAUAGUCACACUUGUAUAGUCCAUUCCAUGUUCCUUGAUAUUUUAAACAGACUAUGAUAUACAAAUAAGUAUGGCAUCUCAUAUCAACUUAUUUGAGCAUGACCAUGCAUUUCUAGUCUCACUUAAUCAAGUGGCCUAAGAUAUUACUCCCAUUAUGUAGGAGGGACUUAUUCUAUAUCGACCAACCAUAUCCCUCUACAUCAAUUGUGGUAUAUCCAACACCAGCCUUUCUAGAACAACCAGUUACGGUGUACGUUUGACUGUAUCAAAAUAUACUACUCACGAUGUUGGGAUUAUGAUGAUCUCAAGUCUGAGGAUCAUAUACAUAUUAAUCACUAUGAGUAAUGUCGUGACAAUUACAUAAUAAUCCAAGAAACAUACUCAUAAUGGGUCAGUCCAAUAUGUUGUUCUCUAACACACAUAUUCAUGCAUCGAUUCUGAUAUUCCAUAUCAAUGAUAACUCUUUAUCAUCAAUCAACUACAUGUAACACCCCCUACCCGUAUUCGUCGCUGAAAUAGAGUAUGAGGCAUUACCAUAUUUUACCAAACAAAUAUUUUUUUUUAUUUUUAAAAAAAAAACACAAUAUAACCCCUUUGUAAAAAUCUAAUCUUCCCUGCAAAUUUUUUAAACCGAGACCAAUCCAAUACAACCAAUCCAUUUCAAUAUUUUUUUCAAGAUAGAUUUAUAAUAUUCAUAAAGAUAAUCUCAUCACAUACCAAAACCAAAGUUUGUUAGCCAUACCAAUGGCUAACUAUACAUUCAUUUCACAUUAACAUCUACUUUACUAGCUUAUACAUGCCAUUGAUUUUCAAAAUAAAGUUUCUUUAUAUACCGAAAUCUUGAGGUUGAUAGUGUGAUACGUCUCCGACCAAAUCCGACCUCUGAGCUCUUAACACUACAAAACAGGGGAAAAGAAACACGGGGUAAGCACUUUGUGCUUAGUAAGUUCAUGCAACAAGAAUUAUACUUACCUAAUAUUUUCAAUACAAUGCAAUAAACAUUCAUACAUCCAUUCAAUACAUUAUUCCCCUAUCUUGCACAAACUCAACAUUCAAAUUAGUCCAAUAAUUUCCAUGUAUCAAUAAUUUAUAUAUCAUGAUUGAUGAGCUCAUCAAUUCCAUGAUUUCUAUUUCCUUAUUAUUUUUCCAUAUUUAUCCCGUUGAAUUUCUCAGAAUUUUGAUGGAUUUUCAGAGGUACACUUGAGUGUACAAAUCCGGGUCCGUCAAUUCAUAUUCAUGUGCGCACAUUUCCAUUUCAGAGAGCACACUCCCGCGAACCUCAUCCUUACAGCGGGAUUACCAGUCCAGGCUAAAUCCCCUGUAAUAUAAACUCACAGAGUAUUGUCGGGAUUACCAGUCCAGGCUAAAUCCCCUGCAACGACAAUUACUCUAAUGAGCUUGGAUCUGAAUUACCAGUCCAGGCUAAAUUCAGACCCCAAUUCGGAUUACCCGUCCGGGCUAAAUCCAUUUUCCACAUAUUCUUCGAGAGGGCUAUAUCGGGAUAGGAUCACCCGUCUGGGCUAGAUCCUUUUUACCGUCAAUUCCUUUUCAGAGAUCCAUCGAAUUUUCCUUUCAUUCAACCGGGAUUUAUUUUCUCUUUUCAUCAAGAAUAUCAAUACUUCAUCAAUUAUCAUACAAUAAACAUCCAACUCAUUUUCACAUCAAUAACAAACAUUUCAAGCAUUUAAGAAUAUAAUUCAAGUUACACGAACUUACCUCGAUACUUGUUCGUAACCAAAAAUCUACUAAUCCCAAACUUUUUCUUUCCCUCGAUCUUGCUUCGUAUUUGAAUUUUCUGGAUCUAAAUAAAUAAAUUAAAUCAUUAAUCUAAUACUUUUCAUGUUCAUAUGUAACAUUCUUUAUAAUUCCAUUAUUAUUUAUAAUGCAUUCAAAGCUGUCUCACUGAGUCACAGUCACUAAAUUAUUUAUACCUUGAGAUACGGAACUCCAAAUUAAGAUCCGUUAAUUUUCCAUGAAACUAGACUUACAUAUAUUCUUACCAUAAAAUUUUCAGAAUUUUUGGUGUAGUCAAAAAGUACAGUUUAUUCUUUAAAGUUUCUCCUGUUUCACUAUUUGACAGUUCUAACCCUUCUUCACUAAAAAUUAAUUAUCUCAUUGUACAGAAUUCAUAUGAUGUUUCCACUUAUUUCUUAUGAAAAUAGACUCAUUAAGGAUUCUAACCAUAUAAAUUAUAACUCAUAAUCAUUUUUUUACAAUUUUUAAUGAUUUUCCAAAGUCAGAACAGGGGAACCCGAAUUCAUUCUGACCUUGUCUCACAAAACCUAAUAUAUCUCAUGAUUUACAACUCCAUUGCUUACACCAUUUCUUCUAUAUAAAACUAGACUCAAUAAGCUUUAAUUACAUAUUUUUUUAAUCCUCUAAUUCGAUUUAUACAAUUUAUGGUGAUUUUUCAAAGUUAGAGUACUGCUGCUGUCCAAAACUGUUUUAGUGUAUGAUGUUAAUUACCAUUUUUCCCUAAACUUUCAAUAAAUGAUAAUUUCAUCCCUGCUCAAUUAACCUCUCAAUUGAGCUGAUUAUUCUCAAUUAACACUUUAUCCCAUCACUUUAAACUACUUUAUAACCUUUGUAAAUCAGAAUUUCAGCACUAGACUUUGAUUCCAAACAUUUUCACAAUUAGGUCCUACAAAACUUUUCUAUUGAAAUUACCUAAUAAAAUCAUCUCAUAAACAAGUUAAAGCUUCAAUUUCAUGCUAUUUCAUCAUAAAAUUCCAGCACAUAUUCAUAGAAACUUUCAACUUCAUCCAUAAAAUCAAAAACUAAUGAAUUUAGUAAUAGGACCUAGUUGUAAAAGUCUUAGAAACACAAAAAUUACAAGAAAAAGGAAAGGAUUAACUCACUUGGUGCAAAAAUUAUGAGAAACCAGCUUGAAGAAACCCUUAGGACAUUUUUGGCUGAUGAGAAUGCAGAAAAUGUGAAGAGAAUUCUAGAUAUUCCAAUUUGGUCCUAUUUUUAUGUUAUUAAAUUUUGUUAUUUUCCCAUUUUACCCUUAUUUCUUCAAUUCUUCUGAUUUUUCUCAGCGUAUGCCGCCCAAAAUAUCUUCUUUUGGGAUUAUUUGCAAUUUAUGCCCCUUCUCAUUUAAAAAUUAAGCUAUUUAAUCCUUCUAAUAACUUUUACAUCUUUUUCAAUUUAGUCCUUUUCACUUAAUUGACUGCCCAAACAUUAAAAUUUUCCAACGAAAUUUUAAUACCAUAUUACUAACACUUCAUAAAUAUUUAUAAAUAUAUUUUUGACUCGGUUUACGAGAUUGAGGUCUCGAUACCUUAUUUUUACCUAAUUUCUUCAAUAAUUUCUUUUUCUAACUAACCACUAAAUCAGUAAAAUUCUUUUAUCUAUAUUUUCAUCCGAUUUUCCUAUCAUAUCAAUAUUCAUGCAAAAAUAAUAAAAUAAAUUUCUCUUUAAAUCGGAUUUGUGGUUACGAAACCACUAUUCCGAUAACCUUAAAUUUGGGCCAUUACACUACAUGUUAGUCUUAAUGCAUUAUUGUUGUCCUAUCCAACAAUAAUACUUGACUAAGGAUCUUUUAAGAAUAAUCAUAUUAUUCUUAGGACAUUAUUAGAAAACAGUUUAUUUAUACACACAGAAAAGAAACUGAAAUAAUAAUGGUAACGCCUUAUAUUAAUAAACAUGAUUAAUCAAGUAUGUUAUUACAACCAUCUCAUGAUUGAUCUUUGAGCAUACUCUAACAAUCUCCCACUAGCACUAAGACCAAUCACUUAUAUAUCUAAUACCAAGUGACUUAGUGUGACGAUCAUGCUUCUGUUGUGUCAGAGGCUUGGUCAAGGGAUCAGCAAUGUUAUCAUCUGUAGGUACUCUGCAUAUCUCUACAUCCCCUCGAUCGAUAAUCUCUCUAAUAAGAUGAUAGCGCCUAAGUAUAUGUUUGGAUCGCUGGUGAGAUCUAGGUUCUUUAGCUUGUGCAAUGGCUCCAUUGUUAUCACAUCGGAGUUCUAUAGCAUCCGAUAUGCUAGGCACAACCCCUAGUUCAGUAAUAAACUUUUUGAUCCAAACUGCUUCUUUUGCUGCCUCACUGGCUGUAAUAUACUCGGCCUCUGUUGUAGAAUCGGCUACUGUACUUUGCUUUGAACUCUUCUAGCUCACAGCACCACCAUUAAGGCAAAACACAAAACCUGAUUGUGAUCGAGAAUCGUCCUUAUCGGUUUGGAAGCUGGCAUCAGUGUAACCUUUUACACUUAACUCUUCCUCACCUCCAUAUAUUAGAAAAGUAUCCUUAGUACUUCUCAAGUACUUAAGGAUAUUCUUGACUGUGGUCCAGUAACAUUCACCGGGAUCUACUUGGUAUCUGCUCGUCAUACUUAAGGCAUAUGAGACAUCUGGAUGGGUACAUAACAUGGCAUACAUGAUAGAUCCAAUAGCGGAAGCAUAUGGAAUUUUACUCAUGCGUUCUCUCUCUUGUAGAGUUGAAGGACACAUUUCCUUCGAGAGUGAAAUACCAUGUCCCAUAGGUAGGAAUCCUCUCUUAGAUUCUUUCAUACUGAACCUUUUCAGUACUUUAUCUAUGUAUGUACUUUGGCUUAAACCUAAUAGUCGUCUUGAUCUAUCUCUAUAGAUCUUUACUCCUAAGAUGUAAGUGGCUUCGCCCAAGUCCUUCAUGGAAAAACAACUUCCUAUAAUGAAGUUAUGUUGUAGGAUAAUUUUUGGUGGAUUUGUCUAAACAAGUGUAGGAUUGAUACUAUUAUAUCUAAUUCUGCUCAUCUUUUUUGCGGCCCCCUCCUCAUGGAUGGUUAAAGUUUAAUGUAUGUGGAGUUACAAAAGAAGAUAGAACUGGUUAUGGUGGUGUAUUAAGAGAUAAGGAGGGUGUUGCAAUAGUAUUAUUUUUUAGUUCUGUGGCAGCUAAUGACGCUGAUAUGGCUGAGACUGGUGCAGUUAAGGUGGCUCUGGAAGUAUUUUUAGCUAUGAAUUGGAAGAUUAAUGAUUCCUUAUUUAUUGAACUUGGUUCUUUGGUGGUGUUUUCUUGGUGUGUUAACAAGGUAAUGAAACUAUGGUCUCUUCAAGCAAUUUUUGCUGGUAUUCAUAGAGACAUGUUAAAGGCUAGAAAUGUAUUUUCGGUGGCCGAUGAGAAAGGUAACGAAUUGGCAUCUUCCUUGGUAAUUACAGGUUUUUAAUAGGGAGAAUAUGUUUAAAGCUUGGUGGUGAGUUUUUUAUAUUGUUGUAAUCAUUGGUUUAGUUGCGACAGAAUACGUUUUUAAUCUUGUAUGUUGUAAUUCUGAACUUUGUUGUUGUUCUGUUUGUCUUUGACAAUAGUAUAGCUUGAAUGAAGCAAAAAAAAAGGGCAAUCCCUAAGGACAUGUAAAAUGUCUUAUGUCUCAUAAUAUCAUAUUGGGCAUGCUUCAGUUUGGUUGAUUCCUCUUUUAACUCGUUCAAGGUUAGUAAGCAUGUUUUGUUUGUAAACCAACCAUAAGAAAAAUUUAAUAUGUUGUGGUCCUUGGAAUUUCCAAACGUUCUUUCAUUUACUAUCUUACCCAUUCCAUGUGUUUCCUUUUAACAUUUGGUACGCACUUUUUACUAAGAAUUUCCCAUUAGAUGUGUGAGUCCAAAAAAUUUUGUCAGGACCGGUUAAGGGAUGUGGGGGAGGGAUGUUUGUAAUCUUCUGAAUUAUAUCUUCUGUCAGCCGGUUCCUAAAUGAAUAAAUGUCCCAAGAGCCCUCUUCUGUAACCAUGUCUUUAACUAAACAUUCUGAGAGUAAUCCUUCCGUUGGUGAUGCAUGUGCUUUGAGCGGACUUAUUUUUGGGAUCUAUGGAUCUUCCCAACAUCUGACACUGUCUCCUAUUCCAAUGGACCAACAUAGGUUCUCUUUUAGCAAUGGAUAGACUUUCGCAAUUCCUCUCUAAACAACUAAGCAAUUUUCGCGCAUGAUAUUUUUUGGAACCACCUCUGUCAUUCGAUAUUUUGAUCUUAAGACUUGUACCCACAAAAUGUCCUUUGUAGAAACAAAUUUGAAUCUUAAUUUCAAAAGAAAAGAGGUAUUUUGAUCUUUUACUAGGGCCAUUUUCUGAUUUCCUGCAUUGGAUCCCCAAAUAAAUUUUCUAGCCAAUUGUUCAAUUUCUUCGCACACUUUUUUUAGAAUUUGCAUGGAUUGCAUAAAGUAAUUUGGAAUGGAGAAGAGGAUAGAUUGAGCCAAAGUGAGCCUUCCUGCAAUUAAGAGUUGCUUGACAUCCCAACUACAUAGUUUAACUCUAACUUUUUCAAUAACAAACUCCAAUGUAGCUUUAGCAAUUCGACUAUGUAAAAGUGGAAUUCCUAAGUAGGACCCCAGCCCUUGGACUUUCUAGAAACCGAGAAGUCGGCUUAUUCUAUUGCUCAUAGUAUCCUUCACUCCUCUUGAAAAGAAAAUAUUAGCUUUGCGUGUGUUAACCUGGUCUUGAUCUGGAUUGUCGUAUUGGGCUCCAUGCCCUUGUAUUAACAGCUAUUUGGAAACUAUGACCUAGCCACUCCAUACAAAGCACAAAGAGGUAGGGUGAUAAGGGACAUCCUACCUAAUUCCUCUUGCUAGUUGGAAUUUUUUAGUGGAGACCCCAUUCCACAAAAUCUACAUGGUAGAUGUCGAAAUGGCUGACAUAAUGCCUGCAGCAUGAAUAGACCUAUCAAUAAAGUCCUAUUAGACCUUGUUAUAUGCUUUCUCCAGAUCAAUUUUGAUUGUCAUCCAUUUUUGCUCUUUCCUCGUAUAGAGUGCAUAACUUCCUGAGCAAUGAUGAUGUUAUCAGAAAUUAUUGUCCUGUAAUGAACCCCGCCUAUUCCUGUAAGGUGAUUUUCGAAAGAGCUAUUUUGAGUUUGUUAGCAAUAACUUUCAUAAUUAGCUUAUAGAGAACUGAUCAAAGACUGAUGGAUCUAAAUUAGGAUAUCUCUUCAAGUUGAGCCAUUUUUGGGAUGAGCACAAUAAAUGUAUCAUUUAAAUCAGGCUCUAUGGGCUUUCCUCUGAAUACACCUUUAACCCAUUCACAAAAUGUACUUCCAAUACUAUAUUAUUUAAAUAGAUUAAAAUCAUAAUCAAACCAAGAAUAAAUUAUCAAUUCAAUAUUGGAAAAUAAAUAUGAUAUGAUAUGAUAUAAUAUAAUAUAUAUUCAUUUAAUUUUAAGAAUAUAAAUCUUUCGUUUUAUCAUUUCUAUGUUGUUGAAAGAACUAUAUAUUAUUAUAAAUAUCAAGAGAGAGAUGAGAAAUAUUAGAUCUUUCAACAAUUUGACAAUUUUUUGGUAAGUCUCGUGGAAGCCUUUAUAUUAGGAGUCGGAUUGUAUUUUGUUCUUUCUAUUAAAAAAAUGAGUAGAUUAGUUUUUAUACGUUAAACCAAAGAGUAAAUUGAUUCUUCUAUUAAAAAUCAUCCAUUUCUACCAUUAAAAGCUAGUUCUCGUACAUUAACAUGAGGUAAACAUUGCACACGGGCAAAACCAAAAAUUUUUUUAAGAAGGGGCCAAAAUUAAAUUGUAAUUUUUAUAAUAAUAAAAAUGCAAAUUUACCAUUUUAAUAGCCUAUAUCUUUAUAACUUUUAAAGGAUUGAAUCAAUUUUUUUUAUCAUUUUUAAGGGGGUUAAAGUGUAAUUUUAUCUUUGCUAAAUAGAAAAUUUUCCAUUUUAGGGGUUUGGGGCCCUACCAACCCCCUAGCUACACCCCUGACAUUGUCACUAUCUAAUUAUCUUGUCAAUGACGCUAAUUUUGAACAAUACAAAUGUAUAAUUUUUUUAGCACAAAGGAUUGGCGUGCUUAUUGAUUUAACAUAUAAUGACUAAUUUGUUUGUUAUUUUAGAAAUAAAAAUAUAAUUUAACUCUUAAAAAAAAGACCUCCAUAAUAUUUAGAAUUAGGAUCCAAUUUAUAGAACACUUAAGUACUAAGGACUAAAUGUAUUAUUAUACCAAUUAGGAAAAGAAUUUUCAUUAUCAAUUUAAUGGUGGAUGACGGAACAAAUUCUAAUGUCAAUGCCUAAAUUGAAUAUUUUCAAAGUUCGGUGACCAAAACAGGAAUGCAGGCAUAGUUGAGUGAUCAUUUGUAUAAGUUACUCUAAAUUAAAUUAUGAUGUUUUCAAAAUUUUAUGCGAUAAAUAUAUUAUCACAUGUAUAAUACAGCGUCAACUUACUAUUUCCACAUAAUACUUGUAAAAAAAAGUCACAUCAUUUUAAUUAAUGAUUUAAUAUUUACUAUAAAAGAUAAAAUUGAUCGAAUCUUCACAACUUACGCAUGAUAUAAAAUUAGUAGGAAAAUUUUACUUAACGAGUUUAAUUAUUGUCAUUUAGAUAUUAAGAUUUCAAAAUUUUAAAAAUAUAAAAAUUAAAAGAAAUUAGAAUAUAAAUUCUAAAUUCAAAGCUUAGUCAUAAUAGGAAAAUUUGACUUAUUAUUAUUUUUCUAAUCAUUUUCUGUCUCACCUUCUAAGAAGAUAACUCUUUGAUUUGAUCAUUUCUAUGCUGUUAUAAUUAAACAUUAAAAUUGUAUACAUAUGGAAUAUUAAAUCUUUGAAUAAUUCAUGCAUACGUGGUCUGAAUGUUGACCCAUCAUAACACUUGGAACAAGGUUGAAAUAAAAUUGCAUUUCUAAUAAACUAGGAUUUUUUUUUAUGAAUCUUGCAAGAAAGAGUAACAGCAGUAGACCACUAUAACAGUCUAUUCUAGACCAUAAACAUAGUAUUUCUAUUUAUGUUGUCAAACUGUUAACUUCUCACAUUAGAGUAAUAUGAGGAUAACUCUCUCACCUUCUAAGAGGAUAACUCUUUGAAAAUGCUAUAAAUUAAACAUUAAAAUUGUAUACUAUGGAAUAUUAAAUCUUUGAAUAAUUCUUGCAUACGUGCUCUGAAUGUUGGAAGUAAAAUUAAAAAAUAGUUACGUGUUUUUUAUAAGUAACUAUAUAAAAUUAAAAAAUUAUGAUGUGUUUCUUUUAUAAAUAAUUAUAUGAAAUUAAAAAAAAAAUCCACAAUCAACAUGUAUUGUAGAUAAGCCAUAUAUAUAUAAUUGUCUACCUUUUAAGUCAAUAAGUUUAAUAGUGGCCCCUCUUGGCUUUAACCAUCCUUUGUAUUUGUGCCCAUCUAACACACGUCUUACACCAGUUACUGGAAUUGGAAAAUUACAGUUAGAGCAAAUCAAUAAAAAAUUGCAUUUCUAAUAAACUAGGAUUCUUUUAUGGAUCUUGCAAGAAAGAGUAAUUUCUAUUUAUGUUUAUUUUAAUCAAAGAAUUUGUCAAACUAUUAACUUCUCCCAAGAUAUGAGUAAUUGUAACAUAUAAUCAUCAAUGACUUUAAAAGUUUUUUCUAUAUCUCUAGAGUAGAGGGAGUGACUUAGAACACCAUGAACUAAAUGACUCAACAAUUAAAUUAUGAAAAUAAGGGUAGCAAAAUUUAAUUCUAUUCAAAAAUUUGGAAAAAAAAAAUUGAAUUUCGAGAUAGUCAAAUCAAGUUAUUCAAGGUAUUUGGUGUAUAUAACCUGUCAAUUUUUUUUGGAUAAAUUACAAGAAGAGGGGAAAACCCUAACAACAACACAACUUGAACCCAAGCCACACUUGAGAUGAUGAAUACCCUGACCAUCAAGCCAACACGCAAGGUUCUAUAGCCUUAUCAAUUUUGAAAAUGAGCAAAUUGAUCUCUCUCUCAACAAAAACUACAAAAAAAAUUCAAACUAAUUUUUAAAUUUUAAAAUAUUUAUAAAAAAUUUCAAAAUUUAUAUUUUAAAAAAAUUAUAAAAAUUAAGAAUUCUAUAGAAUAUAUAAAAAAAGUUAAAAUAAUUUAAAAUAAUAAUUUUGAAACCUAAAUAAAUUAAUUAACAAUUCAAGUUUAUCGUACUAAAGUAAUUUUUUUCUUUUUUUUGCAAGAGUUUUUAAAUAUAUAUAACUUCAAAUUUAUUUCUUCCAACAUGAAGUUAGUUAUACUGUAACAAGAUUUUAAUUUAACAUAUUUAACUCAAACAAUUUUACUUGAUUCUAUUCAAUUCGAUUUGAAUUUCAUUUCACUCGACUCUAAAAAUUUUUAAAUCAAGUUAAGAUAAUAAAAUAGGACUCGUUAUCAUAAUUAACUCAAAAAAAUUUUCACUUGAUUCGAUUAAAUAUUUACCCUUAAAUUAAAAAUUGAAUAACUUAGUCUUGAUAAAGAUCUCUAAUACAAAUUUAAUAGCAUUAAUUUUAGAUAAAUUAGCAUCACAACAACCAAGAGGUUUGGAGUUGAUGCAUUUUGAUGAAAGAGUCAUACGAUUUGACAUUUUAUACAUAGUGAAGGUGGAAUUAAGGUAGUUAGUGGGUGUAUCAUUUUCGUGUUAAUAGUGGUAUAUAUAGGCAUCGGUAUGUUUCAAUAUAUAAUUUUAGGUUUACCCAUGUUUUUAUAUAUAUUUAUAGUUUAAUUUUUAGUUUGUUGAUAAAUUAUAUACAUUUAAAUAUUUUUUAUAUAUAUUUAUAGUCUAAUUUUUAUUUUGUUUAUAAAUUAUUUGUUAUUUUAGUUAAAAAUAAAUUAUAUAUUAUAUUAACAUGCAAAUAUAUCUUAAUUAUAUUCAUAUAAAUAUAUUUAUAUUUAAAUAUAAGUUUUAAAAUUAUUAAUUACGUUCAAUAAUUCAAUUUAACUUUUCAUUUUAAAUAUAAUUUUGAAAAAUUAAAAUGGUUAAGAAAAAAAUUUAAAAUUUAGUUUAAAAUGUCAAUAUUUUGUAUCAACCGAUUUGGGCCGAUAUGUACUGAUUACAGACCGAAACAGAUAGAAAUACGCUUAAAUAGCCGAAGCACACCAAAAUUUUAACAAGAACGAAACAUAACGUAAUUAAUACUGAUUUAGGACUGAAACGAUAUAUACCGAUUACCAUGUUGCAACUUUAUAUUCUUAUCUCAUAUAUAUUAUUGAAUUAUCAAGAAUUCCUCUAACUCUCAACCAUCUACUUUUAGUAAUGUUUUUUUUAUUUGUAAAAUAAAGAUGUUUAUUAGAUAAAACAUGGGAAUGGUAGAAAUUUUGAUCUACACACUACAUAAAGAUAGCAUACAUGAUUUAUAUAUUCUCACAUUAAUGCCAACAUUUAUUAAUAGUACUUAAUUAUAGGAAAACAUAAACGCAUGCAUCCAUGAAGGAAACAUGAUUCUAUUUUACUCACACACGCAAUGCAAUGAAAUUUUGUGUGUUCAUAGAUUACAUUGGCUCCGGCUUCUUUCUCCGCUCCAGCUUUGUUUCUUUGUUAGAGUAUAAGAAUAAGUCUGGUAUAUUGUUGGCAUAUAGUUAGCAACAGUUAGGUGAUCUCAUUCAAGUAUAUAAGUCCUAUAUGUGUAUUGAUGAAUUUUUUCAAUACAGAAAAUGUUCAAUCAUUUUUUAUUCAAUAUCCUCUAAGUAAUUAGUUCUCUGUAGUUACUAACAUGGUAUCAUUCGCCUGAAGUUCCUGCAGGUUCUUCUCGUUGCCGUUUCAUGGAUGAUUCGAGUGAUUCUAUCGCUGUUAAUCAUGGCAGUCUCUCCUUCUCCGGAUCUCGUCUGGUUCAAACAUUUCCUCGUCAUGAUACAGUAAAGUUAGACGAAGGAAAUUUCGUACAAUGGCAACAACAUAUUAGGUUAAUAGUUGAAGGCUAUGAAUUGUUAGGGUUUCUCGAAGGGACAUUACAUGUUCCGCCCCGCUUCAUCACUUCUCCAGAUGGAGUUCUGGCUUCGAAUUCUGAUUCGUCUUUGUUUGUACAGCAAGAUAAACUUCUUGCAUCUUGGUUAUUAUCAACAAUUAGUUCUGUCUUGUUGCAUUCUUUUACAGCUGCUUAAUAAGAAAAUGAGGUGUGGAGCACUGUGAAUCGACUAUUCGCCGCUGCCACUGGACCAAAGGUGUCGCGCAUUAAGCACGAACUCAAUUCCUUCAAGAAGGGUGUGAUGUCGGUGAAAGAAUAUGUGGCUAAAAUAUAAACUACCUACGCGUUGCUUGAGGCAUCGGGAUCUGUGGUACUGGAGGUAGAGAAAGUAGAAAUCAUAUUGGUCGGCCUCUUGUCGGACUAUGAUGUUGUCCUCACGUUGGCAUCAUUCUCGACUGAAUCACUUCCUCUCUAGAAGCUUCUUAAUGUACUCUUGGAGUUUGAGAAGCGGCAGGCUCGUGCGGUGACUGAAACGCCAUUUCAUGCCCAUCUAGUGAAGGCUGAUCCGGGGAAAUCGAGGACGGACGGUGUGCGUGGUGGCCGGUCGUCUUCUAUGGCUUAUGGUCGUGGGUUUAGGACUCAUCUUUAUGUCAAAUCUGUGGUAAAUAAGGCCAUUUGGCACAAAAAUGUUACUACAGGUUCGAUCGUGACUAUGGCGGCCCAUCUGCUCCGGCUUCGAAUCUACCUCCGGUGUUCUCUGGUCGUGCGGAUCGUGGAUCUCGCGAGAAUGGUUAUGGUGAGCAUGGCUGGUCUUCGUCGGGUCGUGGUGGUUCGGUUCCCUUUGGUGGCUUUGGACCGUAUAUUGGUGCAUUGUAGCGGCUCCGAUCGUGUAUCUGUGCGGUGCCUCGUGGGGGGGUUGCUGAAUGGUUUCUCCAUGUCUACUCCAUCUACUAGGAUUGCAAAACCUUUUCCCACUUAUACUAGUAUUUACGCAGGCCACAUAGUUGGGCCAUAUCUUGUUGGACCAAGACCUCACUAUGGUAACAAUGUUGAUCCCCUUUUGCUGCGCAGAUUGGGCUUUUCAUAUAGGCUGCAAGGUGAUGCUUAGGCCGUGGACUUAGGCCAUAUACUAGGCAGGCUGCGUCACUUCCUAACGUGGGUCAACAAGCUGGGCCGAAUUCCAACCUGGUUGGGCUUAAGCCGAAUGGACAUAAUUUCGUCCAAAAUAGGGUGUCAUAGUGGACUAAAUCGAGGGCUUGUGUUCAUGAUGUUGAUACUUUGCCGUGCAUUGGGUUACCUCAUAUCCCUGAUUUUCAUGCCUCAAAUUUUUUGACCACCUUUAGGUCUAAUGUCAGCACGAUGCAAUUUGGGUCUAAUUUUGAUAAUGAAAAUUCUCAUGUUCCUAUGCCUGUUGGGACCUCUUCUUGGUGUCGUGAUUCAGGGGCUACAUAUCAUGUCUAUCGAGAGGCCACCGAUCUGUACGAGUCUAUGCCAUACUAAGGUACAUCUCUUCUCCUCAUGGGUGAUCCUACAAAAAUAUUAUAUGUUGAGAAUUCUACUUUACCUACGAAAAGUAAGAUACUUCGCAUGUCUAAUGUUCUAUGCAUGUCUGAUAUACGAAAGAAUAUGUUAUAUGUUUCUCAGUUUGCUAAUGACAAUAGCGUGUUCUUUAAAUUUCAUCCAUCUUACUGUGUUGUUAAGGACAUCCCAACUCGGACACCAAUAAGCUUGUUAUAACUACCAAGGACGCCUCAGACACCAACUCUUCCUUUUAUAAAUUAGUUAUUGUACGUCCAAUAACUAACCAUUGCCGAUCGAACAACCUAAGAAACGUUCGUGAUUUAAAAAUCCGGCAACUUUACGUUCUAGUCUUGAUAUUUGCGUUCAUAUAUGUAGCGACGUAAAAAUUUUGGUUUGGGGUCGCUAAUUGUGGCAAUCUAGUGAAAAAGUCUGAAAACUGAAGUUUGAUUUUAAAAUAAAGAGGGAGUCGCCACCGAUCCUUUUCCUAGGUGUGAUCGGACACCUAUUAGAUUCAUUUUUUUUUAAAACAAAAGGAAGGCUGGAUUUAGGUCUACGUUAAAAGCCAGAGGAAAAUUAGGGUUCGGGAGUCGGUUACGCGCGAGGAAGGUAUUAGCACCCUCGCAACGCCCAAAAAUUGGUAUCUCAUAAACACAUGUUGUCUUAAUUUUCAAAAAUGCGAGUUCAAUAUUAAAAUUUAAUCAUAGUCCGAUUAAAAGAACGAGAAAUUUUGGUUUAUUUCGUUUUUUUUAGAAGGGUAUAUCGCUUUAACAUGAGUCAACUGACGUUCACCCAACAUAGCGAUGAACUCGAUGACUUAAUGUUAAAUCGAUAUAUUGCCUUGAUUAUUGAAAUUGAUUUAAAUCAUGAAUAAAUAUGUUCGAAACUAUGUAAAGCAAAUUAAUAAAUAAAAAUAAGCAAAAAGAUAGAUCUAGAAGCAUAUUGAAGCAAAUAUAAGUGUGACAAUAAUAUUACAGACAAUGAAGAUACAUGUAAUACUAGAAUAAAACAUGAAAUAGAAAUAACGAAUGUAUACACAUGAUAUUAAGAGUAUGUAUGUAAACUAUAUAUAAUGUUUGGAGUAUAUACCUAAGAUAGUAAAAAUAUAACUAGUAACAAUAAAAUAUUUACAUAAUAUAUACAUAUAUAUAUAUAAAAACAAUAUUUAAAAAGGUAUAUAUAUACGUAUGAUAAAAUAAAUGUAUUAAUAUUAAUAAUAAAUAUAAUAGGGGUAAAAAUAAAUAAAUAUACAUAAUAUAUACGCAAUAUAGUACUAAGAAUAUAUAUAUACACAUAUACAAUAUAGUAUUUAAAAAUAUAUACAUAAUAUUUACAUAUAUAUAUAAAAUAAAUAUUGAAAAAUGUAUGCGUUAAAAUAAUUAAUAUGUAAAAAACUUAAAUAAAUAAAUAUAAAACAGUUUUUUUUUAAAUAAAAAGGACAAAUAUACAAAUACCGUAUAAAGUUUGAAACUAGAUAAAAUAAUGUCUAAAUAAAUUGCAAAAUGGGGCAUAUAAUAAAAUAUGAUGGAACAGUUUGAAAUAAAGAGGAAACGAUUAAAUUAACAUCAAAAUGAAAGAAGAGGUACAAAUUAUAAUAACAGAUAAGUGUCAUGGACUACAUCAAAAUGCAUUCAAAGUUAUGAGGACAAAAUGGGACAUUAUCUCAAGUCUCAAAUGCACUGCUUUUCAACCACUCAGGCCGAGGAUUAAAGCGGAAAUAAAAUGAAAUAAGUGGGCCAAAAUUAAAAAAAGAAAAUGCAAAAAGGACUAAAUUAAAUGGCGCAAGAAAAGAAGAAGGAUCAUGACCGAAAAUAUCCCAUUUUAGCCUAAAAAAUAUGCUGCCGUUUCUGUGGCCAUUUAAGCCAUUCCUUUUUCUUUUUCAUUUCAGCUUCUGUUUUAAAGAAGAAAAAAAGAAUGCAGAGGGCCUUUUACCCCCUCUCCCUCUUUUCCAUUUCCUCUGCCAGGGUUUACAAGAACCCAUCAUCGCAUUAUCAUCGGACCGCCAUACCACCACCAUACUUGGUGGCCGGUGAGGUGCAAGCAUGGGCCGUUCGGCCUUGUUCCAAAAGGAUCUCGAAGUCCUAGCCUUUUAUGAGUCGACAAGAACCAAAAGAAAGGACUCCACCUCCCUCUAGUCCCGACGACGGAGGAAAGGUCUCCGGCGAGACAAUCGCGGGCGAUUCCGGGGAGGUUCUUCUUCUUUUUUCUUUUUUGGUUUUAAGUCUACUCUUAUUUAAUAGAUUUGUGUUGAAAUCAAGAGAAAAAAUUAGAGAGAAAAAAAAAUAAAUAAAAGACGAAAUAAAGAAAGUAGAAUCACAUAUCCACCUUUUCUUUUCUUGCUCUUUUUAUUGUUUGUACUUGUUUUGAUCUCUAAUAUCUGUGUUACCACCACCACCCCCUGUUUUACAAAUGAUAGAUUUCGGCUUUUAAAGCCAAUAUUUUUUUUUCGUUCCUUUUGUUUAUUACUUCCCCCAUCAUUCGCAUGCUUUCUUUGCUGUUGUGUUUGUUCUUGUGUCAGGUGGUGUCAGACGCGUGGAAGGCCGGUGAUUGGCGCCCCAAGCGGUGGUGGCGCUCGUGAAGAGGCUGGUGGCUGAAGGCAUGCGGCUAGGGCUUGCUGCUGAAAUUUUGCUGAAAAAUGUUUUAGAUUUUGGGCCAUUUGGGCUUUAGGGUUUUGAUUUGUUUGGGUUUAAAUUUUGGGUCAGAUUUUGGGUUUGUAAAUGGGCUGUUACUUUUGGGUUUAUUAUUUGAGUUAUUUUGUUGGUAUGGGCCCGGGAAAAAUGGGCUCGUACAGCUGCCCCUCUUUGCUCAUUGUCGUGUAACGAGAAUGGAGCAAAGACUAAGAAGGCCAAUUUUGCCCGGUCUCACCGAGUCUUGACUUUAUGGUGCUUAUCUUCCUCAAGUAACCUCAUUUCAGUCCACUGCGUCUUCUUGCUUUGAUCCACUUCACUGCAACUUCAAAAAGAGAUAUGCUUGUGGCUUUAAUCCACUCUGCUACAACUCCAUGGGGAUGAGAUUGGUUUUUUUUUCGUCUGCUCCAUUGAUGCUUAGGGAGAUAAGACUGGAUGUGAUCUGCUCCACUACUGUUUAGGGAGAUAAGAUCUGUGGUUUUGUCCGCUCCGCUACUACUUAGGGAGAUAAGACUUGAUGCGAUCUGCUCCAUUAUUGCUUAGGGAGAUAAGAUCUGUGGUUCUGUCUGCUCCACUAUUGCUUAGGGAGAUAAGACUUGCAACUUUUGACCAGUUCCACUAUAGCUUCAGGGAGACCAAGUCUGGUGUCUUUCAUCAACUUCAAUCUUUAUUCUUACUCGGCAUGUGAUCUUGAGCCCAACUCAUUUCUCGCAAUAUGAAUUGGCUCUUUAAAAACAGACAUUAAAAACAAAAGCUAAAGAUAUCUCAACAUGUGAACUGAGGCUCAACUCACUUUUCGCAAUAUGAGUUGAUUUUUUUGACAACAGAAAUUGAAAUUACCUCAGCGUGUCUUGAGGCUCAACUCAUUUCUCGCAAUAUGAGUUGAAUUUUGAAAACAGAAAUUGAAAUUACCUCAAUAUGUCUUGAGGCUCAACUCAUUUCUCGCAAUAUGAGUUGAUUCUUUCAAAAACAUAAUAAUGAAAACAGAAAUGGAAAAUACCUCGGCGUGUGUCCUGAGGCUCAACUCACCUCUCGCAGUAUGAGUUGAAAUUAAAACACAAAAAAUGAAAAUACCUCAGCGUGCCCCGAGGCUCAACUCACCUCUUGCAAUAUGAGCUGAUUUUGAAAAAGUAGAAAUUAAAAGGUUCAACCCACCUCUCGCAAUAUGAGUUGAUUCUUGACAAACAGAAAUUGAAAAUACCUCAACGUGUCUUGAGGCUCAACUCAUUUCUCACAAUAUAAGUUGAAUUUUGAAAACAGAAAUUGAAAUUACCUCAGCGUGUCCUGAGGCUCAACUCACCUCUCGCAAUAUGAGUUGAAAAAAAUACCACAGUGUGUAAUCUGAAGCUCAACUCACCUUUCGCAAUAUGAGUUGAUCUUUUUAAAAACAGAAAUUGAAAAUACCUCAGCAUGUGAACCGAGGCUCAACUCACCUCUCGCAAUAUAAGUUGAUUUUUUUGAAAACAUAAAUUGAAAAUACCUCAACGUGUCUUGAGGCUCAACUCAUUUCUCGCAAUAUAAGUUGAAUUUUGAAAACAGAAAUUGAAAUUACCUCAGCGUGUCCUAAGGCUCAAAUCAUUUCUCGCAAUAUGAGUUGAUUUUUUUUUGAAACAGAAAUAAAAGCAUCAGAAUACCAAAACAUGUUAUUUGGUAGAACUCAGGUGUCUUUUCCUUUAAUUCAAUACAACUAUCAUCACAUCUUCUUAUUCUACUGGAGUACCUGUAUAUGUCAUGCAUGAUGUUAUCAUGAUAUGCACAUGUUUGUCUUAAAUGCCUUUAUGCCUACAUGAUUAUGCUAUGCGCCUUAGGCAUGUUUGUCGUAUGUCCCUUUUCGUCAUGAUUGUUGAGGAUCUGCGUUCAUCGUUUUGAUUCUCGACCUUCUCUUCAGGCCUCAUACCUGUCUUCGAGCUUUACGAGUAAUUGACGUUUCUCAGAUAUCACCCUUUUGCCCUUGGUUAAACUUUGUUCUUGCUUUGAAGAUCUUGCACUUAUCAAAUUCUUAUCCGGGUAAUGCUUGACAUUUCUUUUGUUUAGAGUAUGUCAUUUCACUAUUUAUCAUUAAAUAAACACAUAAUUAGAUGAAUGAAAAUGGUCAGGUAGGGACAAAAAGGAUAUCUCACAUUCCUUUAUUUCAAAUGUGGCAAACAAAGAAAGUUAACCAAUGAGAGUAAAAAUGUCAAAAAGAAAGAAAAUGUCGUAUUCAACGGAUACAAAUGCUCUAGAUAUUCAACACAUGAACUCUUCUACGUUCCUCAAUCAAUAAUCUUUUCGAGCAUGGCUUCUUGCGUAGAAAAUUUCGAGCUUUCAGAAGUGCUUCAAAUACUGUAGUCUCACUACUUGACCUAUCGUUCGACCGCCAGGUUUGUUUCAUUAGGACGCCCUCUUGGAUUUUUAUCCUAAUCUUUUUGUACUAAUCAAGACGCCCUUUUCGGGUUUUUGCCCUGAUCCUUUUUUUUUAAGAUGCCAUUUUCGGGUUUUCAUCUUAAGCAUAAUAUUUCUUCACCGCAUCUGAAUUCACCGGAUUCGGUAACUCCUUCCCAUCCAUCUCGGUAAGGAUUAAAGCUCCUCUUGAGAAUGUCUUUUUUACAACAUAUGGUUCUUCCCAAUUUGGUGCCCAUUUUCCUCGCAGGUCUUUUUGUAUUGGGAGAAUCUUUCUCAGAACGAGUUCUCCUUCAUGGAACUCUCUUGGUCGUACCUUCUUGUCAUGGGCUGCGAUCAUUCUCUUUUGGUACAUUUGCCCAUGACAAAUUGCCCUUAGACGUUUUUCUUCAAUGAGGUUCAACUGAUCAUAUCGAGCUCGAACCCAUUCUGCUUCUUCUAACUUUGAUUCCAUCAAUACUCGCAGAGAGGGGAUCUCAACCUCGAUAGGUAGCACAGCUUCCAUUCCAUAGACUAGAGAGAAAGGAGUUGCUCCCGUAGAUGUUCGCACAGAUGUGCGAUAUGCAAACAAAGCAAAUGGAAGUUUCUCGUGCCAAUCUUUAUAUGUCUCAGUCAUUUUCCCAAUGAUCCUCUUAAUGUUCUUGUUAGCUGCUUCAACAGCCCCGUUCAUCUUUGGGCGAUAAGGCGAGGAAUUAUGAUGCUUUAUUUGGAACUGCUCGCACACUUCUUUCAUCAUCUUAUUGUUCAGAUUCGUGGCAUUAUCUUAGAUGAUUCUUUCAGGCAAACCAUAUUGGCAAAUGAUUUCCUUUUUCAAAAACUUGCACACUGCAGUCUUCGUCACGUUGGCAAACGAAGCGGCUUCAAUCCAUUUUGUGAAGUAAUCGAUAACCACAAAAAUGAAUCGAUGUCCAUUUGAAGCUUUUGGAGAAAUUGGCCCUAUGACAUCCAUGCCCCACAUAGAAAAAGGCCACGAAGAAGUCAUGACAUGAAGGGGUGAAGGGGCUACAUGAAUUUUAUCGCCGUAGAUUUGACAUUUGUGGCAUUUUCUGGCAAAAUUGAUGCAGUCACUUUCCAUUGUCAGCCAAUAAUAACCGAGUCUCAUGAUCUUUCUGGCCAUAUUGAAACCAUUGGCAUGCGUUCCGCAAAUUCCCUCAUGGACCUCUUCAAGUAUUUUUCUGGCUUCAACAUCAUCCACACAUCUCAAAAGCAUCUGAUCCUUUCCUCUUUUAUACAGGAUAUCCCCAUCAAGAACAAAUCCCGCUGCCAUUCUUCUAAUUGUUCUUUUAUCGUUCUCAUUCGCUUGUUCGGGAUACCUUUGAUUCUUGGUAUGUUCUAAGAUAUCAUGGAACCAAGGCCGUCCGUCUACUUCUUUCUCAAUGCUACAACAGUGUGCAGGGACCUCGUAUAUGCUCAUUUUGAGGGGCAUUAUUUCUGCUUCUCUACUUGCUUUGAACAUUGAAGCCAAAGUGGCUAGGGCAUCAGCCAGUUGGUUCUCUUCUCGUGGGAAGUAAUGAAAAGUUAUUUCUUUGAAUUCCUUGAUCAAUCCAGCCACUAAAUCGCUGUACUUAAUCAAUUUUGAGUCCCUCACUUCCCAUUCUCCACGGAUUUGGUAAAUCACUAGGGCUGAGUCCCCGUACACCUCCAAGAUCUCGAUGUUUUUUCGAUCGCUGCACGAAGCCCCAUGAUACAGGCCUCAUAUUCUGCGAUAUUAUUGGUACAGAAGAAGUUCAGUCUUGCAGUGAACGGAUAAUGAUUCCCGUCUGGUGAUACCAGGAUUGCUCUAAUUCCAUGCCCUAAAGCAUUUGACGCACCAUCAAAGCACAUCUUCCAUGACUUCUCUUUUGAUGACUCGGAUUCUAUUUCUGUGAUGCACAUUAAGUCUUCGUCUGGGAAAUCGAAUCUUAAAGGCUCAUAUUCCUCUGUCGUUUGAGUUGCUAAGAAGUCAGCUAUUGCGCUCCCUUUUAUUGACUUCUGACUUACAUAGGCAAUGUCAUAUUCCGAAAGGAGGAGCUGCCAUCGUGCCAUUCUUCCUGAUAGUGCCGGCGAUUCCAUCAUGUAUUUUAUUGGGUCCAGCUUUGAAAUUAGCCAUGUCGUGUGAUACAACAUAUAUUUUCUGAGUCUCCGAGCUACCUAAACCAGAGCGCAACAAUAUUUCUCGAUGGACGAAUAUUUUGCCUCAUAUUCAGUGAACUUUUUGCUGAGGUAGUAGAUCGCCUUUUCUUUUCUCCCUGACUCAUCAUGUUGCCCCAGUACGCAACCCAUUGAGUUUUCAAACACGGUCAGGUACAAAAUUAAGGGUUUUCCAAGGGUCGGUGGUACUAGCACAGGAGGAUUAGACAGAUACCGUUUUAUCUUAUCGAAGGCCACCUGGCACUCCUCGUUCCAUUCUCCCGGGUUAUGUUUUCGAAGGAGUCGAAAAAUUCGGUCGCAUUGGUUGGUAAGUUGAGCAAUGAAUCGAGCAAUGUAAUUCAACCUCCCUAAAAAUCCCCUGACUUCCUUUUGUGUGCGCGGGAGAGGUAAUUCUUGGAUGGCUUUUAUUUUAUCUAGAUCAACUUCGAUACCCCUUUAUAAUUGUCUAACCUUCCCUGCAAAUUUCAAAUCACAACCAAUUCCAGUAUUUCAUCUACUUCAUUUAAAUACUAAUGAAUUUCAACCAAUCAACCAUUUCAAACUAAAAACAUGUAUAUAUUUCGAUAUCUAACACAACCAUAACAUUCAAAUUUACUUUGCAUACUUAGUCAUUCAUUCUAUUACUUUUUACUUCAAUUCCUUAUACAUGCCAUAUAAAUCCAAAAAGUUGUUUAACAAAAUCUACCGGAGUAAAUCUGGAUAGUGUGAUUCUUGGUGUAGAUUCGAUCCUCCGAAUGUAUAAAUACGUCAAUCUGUCAACCACAAUCUUUGGUAAGUUCCUUGGUAAUAACUCACUACUACUUAUUCUUUUACCAUAAUUCCUUUGGGCUCAUUUGUCACUUACUAUCCUUGAUCAAAAUUAAGGAACGGUUACGGAAAAUUGAAUACUUCACUUUCACCUUGCCAUAGUACAACUUUGGUCUUACUUAUGAUCACUUGUCAUUUGUCCAUGAUCAGAUAAGUGUAGCUAAGCUACCACUUAUCACUUUGUCACUUGAUCAGAUAAGUGUAGUACUUAUCACUUUUUCACUUGAUCAGAUAAGUGUAGCUAAAGCUACCACUUAUCACUUUGUCUCUUGAUCAGAUAAAUGUAGCACUUAUCACUUUGUUACUUGAUCAGAUAAGUGUAGAUAAAGCUACCACUUAUCUCUUUAUCUCUUGAUUAGAAGUACUCAAAUCCGAUGUUUCGCUUAAUUUGAUCAUUUAUUCGAUUUUCGCAUUUUUAUUUUAUUCUCAUUUCAACAAUAAAUACAUUUCAUCAUACAUUAUAUGGUUCAUGAAAUUAACAUUAAAUCAUUAAAUUUCAGCCAUAUGAACUUACCUGGGUCGAUUUGCUGAAUUUGUAAAAGUUCAGGGACUAAUCAACUACUUUUUCUUUUCCUCGGCUUACUUCGGGUUCUCGAUCUAAAAUAAAAAUUUAUUCAUUCAUCAGCAUAUAAUUCUAUUCUAAUUCAUUUCACAAUUUAUGCCCUUAAAUUUUCAAAAUUACACUUUUACCCCAAACUUUACAGUUUUUACAAUUUGGUCCCUACUCAAUUAACCCCUCAAUUGAUCUAAUUUUUCUCAAUUAACACCUUUUCCAACUAUUUUAGACUACUACAUAGCCUUUCAUAAUCAAAACUGCAACACCAAACCCUAACUCCAAACUUUUCACAAUUAGGUCCCUAAAAUUAAUUUCUACCAAAAUUUCUUAAUAAAAUCAUCAUAUAAUAAAAUUAAAGCUUUAAUUCUAUGAUAAUUCAUCAUAAAAUUCCAGAACUCACUCAUGGUAACUUUCAAAAUCAUUCAUAGAAUCAAAACUAAUGAAUUCAAUAGUUGGACCUAGUUGUAAAAGUCACAAAACAUGAAAAAUUACAAAGAAAAAGCAAGAAUUGAGCUUACAUGAUAUAAAAAUAUGAGAAACCAGCUUGUUUCAGACUUCCUAUGGCGUUUUUGCUGAUAAUUUUUGAAGAGAUCUCUAGAUUUUUCACUUUUAUCUUUGUUUUAUAUAUUUAAUUUGUUAAAUUUCCAAUUUUGCCCUUAUAUCUCCUUACUUUCUGCUGAUUUUUCUUGCCCAACCGUCCAGCCCACAAACUUUAGACCUAAUUACCUUUUAAAUCCCUCCUUAUUAGUCACCUAAGCUAUUUAAUCACAAUUUAACACAUUUUACACUGUUUCCAAUUUAGUCCUUUUUAGUUAAUUAACUAUCCAAACGUUAAAAUUUUCUAACGAAACUUUAUUACCAACUCAAUGACACUCUAUGAAUGUUUCUAAAAAUACUUAUGGCUCGGUUUAAAAUCUUUGAGGUCUCGAUACCUUAUUUUUUAUUUUAAUUAUUUCAAUAUUUAUUAUUAGUACACUAUUCAUUAUUUCAAAAAUUUUCCUAACUUCUCAUUUACUUAUUCUCACUAAAUUAAUAAUAUUUUCUACUCAUUUGUCAGAUUUAGUGAUUUCGAAUCACCAUUCUGACACCACUGAAAAUUCAGGCCAUUACAAAAGUGGUGUAAAAUAAAUACUAUUAUAUAUAGAAGCCAUAUAUGUUAACCCAUUUAAAACCCAAAAUAAAAUCCAUUGCUUCUAAAUUUUAAAUAUAGUUUUUAUUAUACUUUUACAUGUUCUAUAAUUAAAUAAAAAAAUCCUAAGUCUAAUUUUAAUGUCAGUCUCUUACGAAUUCAUUGCUUAUUUAUUAUUGUUAAAACUUUCAAGAAUUCAAGGGUUCAUCUCUUUUUUGCUUAUUAUGUAUUGUUAAAAAUUUUAAAAUUUUGGUUAUCAUUAUUAAUAUUUCCUAGAAAAAAAGGUGACAUCUAUAUAUGAUAACAUGUAAGACCAUAUCUGGGAUAUGGCAUUGUAUGAGCUUUAUGAGCUAUCCGGGUAUCCUUAUCAAUUUCGAAUAGUUCAACGGGCAAAGUCGAGAAGCAAAUGACUAUAUGAAUGAGUUAUAUGAUUUAGGUAUGACAGAUGCUAAAUGAAUCUUGAGAAUGAAAGAUGAGUAUGGAUAGAAGUGAUGAUAUGUGAUUCAUAUGAGAAAGAUAUGUGAUUAAAUGUGUUAUUUCCCAAAAUGUGCUCAUUUGGCUAUAUGAAAGUGAGAAUUGAAUAUUAUAUGAGAAUCGAAUUGAAUAAGCUUGUGAAAGCUAAAGUUAGUAAGUAAGUAAGUAUAUUAUUGAAUGGUGAUGAUUUGAUAUGAAAUCAUGUUAUAAACCUGAGAUAAGUUGUGUUUUGGCAUGUGAGAUAGCAUAUUAUGCUUAUGACAUUGAAUUGAAAUUAUUUGUUAUGUUAAGUUUAUUAAGAUACGAGCUUACUAAGCUUUAUAGCUUACUUUGUGUUGCUUUUCUAUGUUUUAUAGUGAUUCAGAUGUUCGCUUGAGUUGGAAGUUGGCGGAGAUCGCAUCACACUAUCUGGCUAAUGAUUUCAGUAUUUAUACCCUUUAUGACUUGGUUAUAUGGCAUGUAUAGGCUAUGUUAUUUGAUAUUAUGGUUGGAAAUGUAUUUGGUCAUUUGAGAUGGUUGAUUAUGAAUGUGGUAGUGGAAUUUGGUAAUAUUGGCAAUUGAUGCCUAUGUGGUUGAUGUAUUGCUUUUAGCCAUGAGAUUUGGCUAAUUAUUAAUGUAAAGCUUAAUGUGAAGUUACCAUGUAGAUUGGCUUGAGAUGUGAGGUUGGUAUGUGUUAUACGAUAUUUAUAUAUUGCCUUGUAGUUAGGCAUGCUUGAUAUGAAGUUGGUGAUGUCAUAGGGUUGUGUUUUUGGCUAAUAGACAUAUGGUGGAUUAUAGCUUGAGAAAUGGUAUGAUUGUAGCUUGGUUUUAUAAUGAUGAGUUGGUUGAAAUAUGGUCAUGUCUUGUUGUGAUAAUUGACUAAGUAAAUGGCAUAGAUUUGAAUGAUGAAUUGGAAGUGUUUGUAAUGGCAUGAAAUGUGUAUGAGUAAAAGUCAUGAUCAUGUUGUUCUGAUACAUGUUUGGGUAAAUGAAAUGAUUGUAUUGGCAUAUCUUGAAUUAUGCAUAAAUUGAGAUUGUUUUGGUUGCCAAUUGAGUUUAGAAAUCGUACCAUUUUAUCAUGUGUAGGUGUUGGAAAGUUAGAUGGAAAAUGUGGCUUAAACCAAGCCUAUUUUCAUGCCACGUAGUUGAGCACACGGCCAUGUGACUCAACCGUGUGACCUCUACACCUUAAUUAAAUAAGUCAGUCAGUUACACGGUAUAGACACACAGGCAUGUCUAUUGGCCGUGUAUAGCACACGGUCUAGCACACGGGCGUGUGGUCGGCCGUGUGGCCAAGUCAGUAUGUAUGUCCUGUUUUCGCAUAGCCUGAGACAUAGGCGUGUCUACUGGCCAUGUGAGGCACACGGCCUGUUUACACGGGCGUGUGGCCUUUAUAUGCAUGAAAAAUUUUAAAGUUUUCUAAUAUGAUUAGUUUAGUCCCGAACCACUUCUAAGCAUGUUUUAAGGCCUCGAUGAGCCUCAUAAGGGACGAUAUGACUGUGUUUGAUGUUGAUUAUGUGAUAUUGAAUUAUAAAUAAGAAUUAUGUGUUAUAAGCUGAGUUUUGAUCGGUAAUACCUCGUAGCCCUAUUCUGACGAUAGACACAAGUUUAGGGGUGUUACAAGGCACACUUAGAUUUACUCUCGUACUCUCAGAGGAUGAAAGAGUUCUCUAAUUCCUAGACGGUCGAGUACAAAAUAUAUGCUCCAAUUCCUAUAGGGUCGUGAGCAUAUAUUGGUAUAUUGAUCCAUGUACCUGCCCUUGAAUGCAAAAUUGGUUUAUAGGAGCAAAAGAAUGAAAAUGAUAUGCGAUUAUAAUGUAAAGUGCUAUGUGAUUGUGAUAGCCCGAAAUAGGGCCUAAUCGGAAUAGUGGUUUCGUAACCACAAAUCCGAAGUGAAAUAGUUUUAUUUUAUAAAUUUUUAUUAGUUAUUGAUUGAUUGAAAUAUUGUGUGAAAAUAUUGAUAGAAAAUUUUAAUGAUUUAGUGCCUAAUUAAAUUUUUAGGACUAAAUUGAGAAAAAUGCAAAGUGUGUCUAAUUAGUGAUUAAAUGACUUAAUUGAAUUAUUGCAUGAAAUUGGAAGUGUUUAUGUGGCAAUUAGACCAUAAAUUAGUGAUAUGGACACAAAAGGGUAAUUCUAGAAAAAUAUCUAAGUAAUGGGUCAAGGGCAUUUUUGUCCAAAUUAGAAAAAGACAAAAUAAUGAGAAAAUAAGUGUCCAUCUUCUUAAAAAUCAGAAGCUUGCUGCCGAAAUUUUCAUGUCACCAUAGCUAGGGUUCUUGAUCUUCCUAAGCUCAAUUGUAGGUGAUUUCUUGCCCCGUUUUUAAUUAUUUUCGUAUUUUUAUGCUUAUUGAAGCUUGAAUUUCAUGUUUCUACCAUUUAAUUUAAAUGAAAUUAAAGUUUAAAAAUUGACCCAUUCAUGAUAUAAUUCUAAAUUGAUUAGUGAUGUUAGAUAAUGAAUGUUUGAAGUGUUAAUUACAAGUUUUACUAGAUGAAUUUCAAUGAAAAUGUUGAAAAAGGGCUAAAUUAUGAAAGAUGGUAAAGUGUGCAUAAAGUUGUGAUUUUGUGAAAUUUAGGGAUGUUAUGAGCAUGAAGUAUGAUUUAGUGAAGUUUGAAAUUUAAAAAUUUAGUGAAUUUUAUUUUUACGAGCUUAGGGACAAAAGUGGAAUUUUUGAAAAGUUUCGGGGAAAAAUGUAAAUUUGCCAAAAUGUUGUGUAUGAAUUGUAUUUGAAUGAAAUGUUGAUAAAAUGUAUUAAAUUGUGUUAAUAUAUAUCAAGAAAGAAGAAAUAGUGGAAGUGAUCGAGGAAAAGAGAAAGUUAUCGACUAAAUUACAAAAAUAGUCGUUUUGCAUCCGAGGUAAGUUACGUGUAAAUAAUAGUUAUAUUUUUAUAAAUUGUGAAUUAUAUUUGAUAUGUGAAUUAAUAUUCAAUGUGGAACGAAAAUUAUUCAUGAAUUAUUCAAGUGAUAAAGUGUUGAAAAUAAAGUGUUAAGUGUAAAUUCCCGGUUGAACUUAGGAAUAGAAGUGGAUACAAGUGACAUGUCACUAGAGAUCAGUGUUACAGUGUUACAGUGAGUCCCGGGUGCUGGGUGAUCUAGCAUGUGUUGCAGACACCUGACAGCUUGUGUGAGCAGGCCCGUGGACAUUUCCAGUGUUAUUGAUCAGUGGUAGCUUCGGCUACAUAACAGUGGUAGCUUCGGCUACAUAUCAGUGUUGCACUUAUGUGCUAAAUCUCUACGUAUCUGUGUAUAUUCCGAGUGUUCAACGGGAUUAAUAAUGAGUUAAAGUGAAUAUGAAAUGAAGUGUGUAUGCAGGUACAUUUGAAAAGAAUGAGCAUAAGUGAUAAAGGUUAAGUGUGAAAAUGUAUAUGCAAGUGAAUUGGUAAGAUUGUGCAUGUGUAAGUGAUUGAAAUUGCUAGGAAAUGUUUUGAUUAGUUAUAUCUUAAAAGUGUUAAUUAUUAAAUGAGUAAUUAUUGUUUACAUAUAACUUACUAAGCUAUUAGUAGCUUACACCUUCCUUCUUUUCCUUUGUUUUAUAGUGAUUUGAACUUGAUCGAAUUGGGGAUCGUCGGAGCUCGUAUCACACUAUCAUAAUCAUCUCAGUACUGUGUGCUUUUCAAAAUAUUUAAAACUAUGGCAUGUAUAGAGUCUUAAUCAUUUUGAGUAUGUUCAUAUGAUAUGGCUAAGAUUAGCUAUUGAAAUGGUUAGUAAAGAUUAUGUUUUGGUAUUAUGUAUGUGUAAAUGGUAACUAAUUCAAAGAAGCAGUUUCUUUGACAGCAGCAGUGACGUGAAUGUAAAAAUUCACCAUAAAUAGUAGAAAUGGAAUUAGAGAGUGAAUUAUAUAUGGAAUUAAAGCUUAUCAAGUCUAUUUUAUAUGAAAGAAACGUGUAGGCAAAGGAAUCCUGUAUUUUGAGAUAUUUGAAUUUUAGUGAGACAAGGUCAGAAUGAUUUUUGAAGUCCCCUGUUCUGACUUUAGAAAAUCAUUAUAAAUUGCACAGAAAGAAUUAUAAGUCAUAAUUUAUAUGUCUAUAUUCCUUAGUGAGUCUAUUUUCAAAAGAAACAGACGAUAAGCUUAUAUGAAUUCUGUCCAAUAAGAUAAUUGAUUUUUAGUGCCAGGAGGUUAGACCUGUUGAGCCGUGAAACAGGGGAUACUUUAAUGAAUAAAUUGUACUAAUUGGCUAAGUCAAAAAUUCUGAAAAUUUUAUGGUAAGUAGGAAUAUGAGUCUAGUUUCAGGGAAAAUUUACGUAUUUAAAUUAGUGACAGUCAUGCAGGUGGACAGUUUUGUUGUGAACAGUGAAUUUAAUUUUAAAAGCAAAUCUUUAUGCUCCGAAUUGGUAAGUUAAAUUGGUUGACAUCUCGUACUCGAUUCCGGCGACGGUCUCGGGUAAGGGGUGUUACAGUGAUUGUAUAUGAAAUUGAUAUAUGGCCAAACUAUGAUAACUAAACUUGGUUAUUGAUACAUGAAAAUGAGAUUCAAAUUUCCUAAGCGUACAUCAGUACUUUGUGAUUCGAAUAAUGAAAUGAUAUGGUGAAAAUGAGAUACUAUGUACACGAUGUGUAAAAUCUGAGAAAGUUGUAAGCUGGAAUUGUAACACCCCUUACCCGAGAACGUUGCCGGAGUCGAGCAAGAGGUAUUAGUUACCUUAUCUUACUAAUUCGAAGCAUAAAAACUUGUUUUGAAAAUUAAUUUCACUAUUUAUAGCAAUCUGUCCAAUCAUGCAAUAGUUACUAAAUUAAUUAUAAAUCGAGCUACAGAACUCAAAAUUUAAAUCCGUAAAUUUUUCUUGAAACUAGACUCAUAUAUCUACUCACCAUAAAAUUUUUAUAAUUUUUGGUUCAGCCAAUUAGUACAGUUUAUUAGUUAAAAUCUCCCCUAUUUCACCAAUUGACUGCCCUGACCUCUUGUCACUAAAAAUAAAUUUUCUCAUUGUAGGAUUUUCAUAUGGUGUUCUUACUUAUUCCUACAGAAAAUAGACUCAAUAAUUAAUCUAAUAAUGUAAAGUACAGUUCAAAAAUAUUUUUUUUACAAUUUUUAAUGAUUUUCUAAACUCAGAACAGGGGACUCCAAAAAUAGUUCUGACCCUAUCUCACUAAAAUUAACAUAUCUUAAAAUAUAAAUUUCAUUUUUCUAAACCAUUAUUUUUCCUUGAAAAUAGACUCAACAAGCUUUCAUUCCAUAUAUCAUUCACCCUCUAAUUCAUUUUAUACCAUCUUAGGUGAUUUUUCAAAUUCAUGUCACUGUGCUGCCUGAAUUCUAUUUCUUUACAAGAUUUUAUCCUUUCAUGAUUUCCAUGCAUAAUUUAUCACCUGGCCUUUUAUAACAACAAACAUCUUCAUACUUAACCAUUUUAAUAACCAUUCAUCAUCAAAUACUCACACACCAUUCUUUAGCAAAAUCAUAAUUACAAACAUGCAAAAUAACUAAGUCCCUAUACAUGCCAUAACUCAAACAUGUUUCAUCAUAAAAUACCGAGCAAUUGUUCUUGAUAGUGUAGACGAUCUCUGACCUCUUUAGGAUCCUUGAUGCAGCUUUGCAAUACUAUAAGAGAAAGAAAAAUAAAAGAAGUGGCUUCAUUGUCUUGAAACACACUAUUGAAUUUUGAUAAAUCGAGUUUAGAUUCGCAUCCUGACUCUACGCUUAACCCCUUACUACGUCAAAUUGUGUGGUCCCAAUCGAUCGUGAUUAAAUGAGAAACAUUAGCAUAGUAAGAAAAUAUGAAAUUAUGCCAUGUUUUCCACUUAAAGUCAAUGAAAAGAAUUGAGAUGGUUCACAUUCGUAAUGUGACACUUGUACUCAAAUCCGGUGAUCAAAUUCAAUGUGAAGUGUCACAUCUUUAGUUGAUAUGUCCAAGUCUGUGAUGCCACAAGUCUGAGUCACUAAUGAAAGAUUUGUUGCAUGUAGUUUGGCUGAUCAUUCUACAGUAGUUGUGAAGUGACCUUGCCCCUUUCAUUAAGGACCCCUUUUUUUAAUGUAUAACCUCGUAACCAUAUUUGAUGAAGUUGACACGGUAUCCUUGAUCACAUAAUUUAUUAAUGGUAAUUAAAAUAGCCUUAAGUCUCUCCAUGAAGUGAACAUUUUUAACCUAGGGAUUCCUAAAUUUUGAGAAUGUCCAUCCCAAUUAUUUUGCUUUUCCUGCCAUCACCCAAUGUGACAUUUUUUACAUUGCAACUUUGUAAGUACUUCAAAUAAUGUUUAUUACCUAUCAUGUGACGAGAAUAAUCAUUUUCAAAGUAUCAAAUCUUCUUAGUGAUGGCAUUUAAGGACGUAUGGACUAUUUACGGGUGUUGAGUACAUAAAAAAUAAAUUAAAUUUGCAAUAUAGAGAAUAAGGUAGAUCUCACAGAGACUAAUCUGAUCGAUUUUAUUAAAGUUGAUUGAUCAAAUCUGAUGACGAAACUGAUAAGACCGUAAAAAUCAACUUAAACUAAAACUGAAAACAGAAUUAAUGUAUUAUUAAGUACUGAAAUUGUAUAGAAUAGAGUACUUACUGUACAUAAACAACGGUGAUGAAGAAUUAUUAAGUACUAUAAUGAAGACGAGGAGGAAUGCUUUGUUCAUGCUUAAAGAAAUUCUUUGGAUCAGUCUUCGUCUUGACAUAAACAAGCCUAUCAAAAUUAUUCUUGAAAUAUUUACGUCCCCAAUUGCUUGCUUGCUUAUAACUUGUCUUGCCAUAGUAAUUAUUGCUUCCGAUAUCGAGAUCUCUGUAAUUAACAUACGCUUCUCGUGGAGAUUUCGAAACAAAAGGACCCAUGUAGCUAUAAAGUUUGCUCAUCCAGCUUAUAUACCUUUGAGAAUUAUUGUUUUCCUCUUCUUGCCAAGCGAUAACGUAGCUUAUCUUGUAUAAGGUGCCGUUUCGAUGUGGAAAUGGAGUUUCUGUCUCUGAGAUUUCGUCCAUUAUUCCACCGUAAGCAUAAAAGUUUUGAACUGCUGUGCCUCCUUCGUCGACCUCUAGAAGGUGGAGCAAUAGCCCUUGUAAUGCUAUUUCAGGCAUUGGUUCCCUCACGUAAUCUGAUUUUGAUUUGACAAAAGGAGGAAGAAUGGUAUACCUGUUGCUCCUAUCGAGCAAAAUCUCCGAUGUUUCAUUUGAAAGUCCGUUCAUAAACAAUAGAGAUUCGACCCAAGUCAUCUCAAUAAAAUCCUCCUUAACGAGUCCAAGCUCCGGGAAUCGUUCUUGCAUCAAUGGAAUAAACUCAUUGGCACCACCUUGGAACAAUGAAACAAAGGUGGCAAGAACCGUCUUUGUCCCAUUUUCACUGGCGUUCGUCGUUGAUAUCGUAACGACUGGGUAUACAUCAUUCGGAAGAUUGGGUGCAACGUAUUGCCAACGAUGAAGAAGCUGUGUUGCAUUUUGUUCCAAGGUCCUGCCCACUGAGAAAAUAGUCACAGUUGAAGGAACAUGAACCAGCUUUAUUUUCCAUGAAAUAACGAUCCCAAAGCUUCCCCCUCCGCCACCUCGAAUGGCCCAAAACAGAUCUUCACCCAUCGAUCUUCUAUCAAGAACUCUUCCAUUAGCAUCGACCAACUGCGCAUCGAUCACGUUAUCCGCCGAGAGACCAUAUUUUCGGAACAAUGAACCAUCGCCUCCACCGCUAAUGGACCCACCAAUUCCUACAGUGCGGAAAACAGCUGCUGGGAAGGAAAGGUUCGUGCUUCGUUCAUUGAUUCUGUAGUAUACUUCACCCACGGUUGCACCUGAUUGAACCCACGCCUCUUCGUUUUCGACAUCAACAUCGACUGAUCGCAAAUUAACCAAAUCGAUAACAACAAAUGGGACAGGGGAGACAAAGGAAAGACCUUCGAAGUCAUGACCACCACUUCGAGUUCUAAUUUCUAGGCCAUGCUUUUUGGAGCAAUAAAUCGUUGCUUGAACGUGGGAAAUGUUCAAUGGUGUUACAAUAACCAAUGGUUUGGGGGUAUUAGGCGUAGAGAACCUCUGAUUCCUAAUGGAAGAAUUCAAAAGUGCUAAAUAUGAAGAGUUCGUUUCAGUGUAGAUAACUUGAGUAAUGGAAGAGGAUUCAUUGGGAUGAUAUGAAUAAAGGCAUUCAAGAAAAUCAUCGUGGCUAUUAGCUGAAGCAGUCACCCAUGACAAUGAGCAAACAACAAUGAAAAGCAAUGACAGAGAACGGUGAAGGAACUUCAUGUUUAUGGAAGUGAUGAAUUUGUGAAGUUUGCAGCAAGAUAUUCCCCUUAUUUAUAGAGGCAAUGCUUUGAGCCGCCAUGUGAACCAAAGUUCAAGAAACCCAGGUAUUUGAAGUCAGUUCAUAUAUAAUAAUGGCACAUGCUGCUCAUUUCCUUGUCUAAUUAAAUUGGGUUUUUUAAUCACUCAAAAUUAUUCCAAAACAAUGGUAAAAUAAAUUUCUCUAUAACUGGUGUCGUAACUUGUGAACCAAACACAAUAUCUCAUCCCUAUUCUUAAAUACUCAACACUUUCGAAUUUAUGUUUUUUUUUACAUUGAUAAUAAUAUCAAUAUUAAUUAAAUUAGGACCCAAUCAAUUUUUUUUUAUUUAGAAACUACCACUUGAAAUAAUAUUUGAAUUUAAAUUUUAAAAUUAUUAUCCAUUGUGGAUUCGAAGCGGAUGCAGAUAGAUACAUUAAAUAAUAAAUAUUCAUUAUUCGAAUUCACAUUACUUAUGCUUAUAAUUUUGAUUUUAUAUAGAUAAAUAAUUUUAGGGUGUUCAAUUUUAAUUUUUUUUAUGGAUUCAGAUAUUCAAAAAAUAUUGAAUUUUUUUAGAUUAUAAAUUCAAAUAAUAAUACUCAUAUAAUAUUAAAACAUAUUUACCAAAUCGAAAUUUAUUUAUUUUUUUUUUGGUGAAAAGAAAAAAUCCUAAGAUUCUUUUACAAAAACUAACAUUCUCUUAGUCAAUGUUUAAACAAUUCCUUGGAAAAUAAUAUGAAGUCUUACUCCUAGAUGAUUCACUACUACUAACUUCGUUGUACUGCUUUGCCCAGCUUAUUGAGGCUUUAAUAACUUCCAUAGAACUCUAUGAGAGUCCUUGGAAGACAAAAAGGUUUCUGUUUUUCCAUAAUUGCCAUAUUAGGAUUCCAAAGAGUGUGGGCCAAAGGACUUCGUGCCUUGUUAGUUGACCAUAAGUUCCUAAAUUUGUCUUAAUUGUAACACCUCAAACCCGGCCUAAGAGUUAGGCCCGAAUCUGGCGUGUCACAAUGAAGUGGUUUUCGAAAAUCAUGAUUUCAUUAAAAACCCUUCUUGAAAUUUCAAACUUCUUACCAUUUAAAACUUGUAUAAAACUUCAGUUUGCGUUUUUUUAUUUUCAAUCGAGAUUGAUUAAAAAGUUAUUACCUUCAAAAGCUUAUUGUUACGGAAGCUUAAUUUAGAGCAAAUGAUUUACGAAAACGUGAUAUUUACAAAUUGAGGUGCGAAAAUGUAGUAUUAGAAAACAAUUAUUGUUUUGGAAAAAUCGUGUUCUACUUCCAGCAGAUAUAAAUCACAAUCACAUCAAAUCCCAAAUUUAAAAUCCAGAAAUUAUAGAGGCCUUAUUACACCCCAAAUCAAAAUCAAAUUUGCUUUAGUAAAUGAGCAAAACAGAAUAAAACUUGUGCAGUUGUGUGGCCCUCUCCGAGUCCCUCGUAGCUCCAAAUCAUCUAACGCUGGGGAUUACCUGAAAGGUUAUAAAAAAUGGGGUGAGUUUACAAAAACUCAAUGUGUAAUCCCCUAAAUAAAAAAACAGUCAGUAUAUAGAAACAGAAACAGUUUAGGCCUGAGCCCUUUGACAGUAACAGUACAGUGUAGGCCUUAGCCCUAUACAAAAACAGUGUAGGCCUAAGCCCGAUACAGUAUCAGUAUGCUGCAAGUAUGCAAACCCAUCCCAAUCCAGCUAACACACCAAUCGUAACAACCCAACACACCAUGUGGGGAUAAAGUCGACCCACCCAGCCCUCACACCAAUAUUGCAGCAUAGCUGCCAGUAGUAAUAAUGCAGCAGAGCUACCAUUAAUCAGAAUGGCUAAAAGUCAUAAACAAGAUAGCUAUAAGCUAUAAACAGAAUGGCUACAAGCCAUAAGUACAUUAAUAUGAUUGGCACAAAACCAUCAGUAGCAGUGAUAUAAUUGGCACACAGCCAUCAAUAAUGGUAAUAUGAUCGACACAAAGCCAUCAGUAACGGUAAUAUGAUUGGCACAAAGCCAACAGUAGCAUUGCAGGAAAGCUACCAGUAGCAGUAUCGCAGCAAAGCUGCCAAUAAUAGUAUAUGUGGUAAACCCACCAGUAACAGUGAUUGUGGCAGAGCUACCAGUACAGUACUUCCUCCAUAACAGUAUCCCAACCCCAUACAGUAUGUCGUGUAUGCAGAAUGCCAUGCUUAGAAUCAGUCAUACCAAACACAGACAAAGCAAUCAUUUACAUCAAGGACAAAUAAAUCAUUUAUAUCACAGACAAUUCAAACAUGAACCUCAAGGGCCAAAAUAGUCAUUUUACCCUUUGAGGGUAUAUUGGUCAAUUCACCUAGCAAAGGCAUUACGGUCACUUUAUGCUACAGGAGUAUUACGAUCAUUUUACCCUAUAGGGGUAUAUCAAUCAAUUCACCUACCAGAAGUAUUACAGUCAUUUUACCCUACAGGGGUAUUAUGGUCAUUUUACCCUAUUGGGGUAUUACGGUUAUUUCACCCUACAAUGGUAUUACGGUUAUUUUACCCUACAUGGGACAUUACGGUCAUUUUACAAACAUUGGGGUCUCAGUACUUAUUCGACCUUUUAAAAGGUCUAUCGUCACUUCAAGUGACUUAGAUAACCUAUACGACCAGAACAGUGUAAUUAGGCCCAAAACCCGCUAUUAAGCCCAAGUGGGCCCAUACGCUCAUAUGGCCCAUUUAGUCCAGAUUCAUAUACGGCAUCGCAAGCCUCAUAAACCAACCUAUCAAUGAUCACUUACCGUGGAUUUUACCCAUGUGGGCCUACAAGCCUAUUGGGCCUACGCGGCCCAUUUCAACUUAACUAUGCAAACGUUAUGAUCCAAACAACACUUACCAUAUCACAUACAUUUUAUCUGUAUGGCCCACAAGCCCACUGGGCCCACAUAGCCCAUUUUGACCCAAUGAGGCCCAGAAUAACCCAAGACCACGAGAGCGCUCAUGGUGGCCUCUACAGACUAACACUCCUGUUGGCAAGCUCGGUUCAUCACACGUACGAUCGUAGGCUCAUGUGGCAUCAUACGCCAUAUUUUUGGCUUUUCGGUAUUUGUCGAAUUACAGAAGAGACAAUGUGAUUACACACACUUUUAAUUUUAUGACAAUAAUGAUUCACAGUGUACAGUUACAUACACCUAAAUAUGAAUUCUUGCGAACAGCCUAUGAGCACCAUUAAAACAAGGUAUUUAUCAAUCGCUUGACAAUAGGAUCUCAACCUUCAUUGAUAGUUAUCUGCAUAUAAAGCGAAUUUAGUAAUCAAGAUUACUUAUACAUUUGGGUUGAAUCUAUGGUUAUCAGCCUAAAAAAACAUAAACCCUAAACAAGGGAAAAGCAUAUUCAGCCAAUACCAACCUACGACAACACAUUCCAGUUCAGAUUAUUCACUGCGAGUAGUAUCACCUUCGAUCAAGAAUGAAAGAGAAGAUUCUAAUCUUUUCUACAGUGCUAAAGAACUCCUCCACUCCUCACGAAUUCCUUAAACCCGAAAGAACACCAUAACAAAGGUAAAAAAAGAAUAUAAGAAUCGACAUCUAAGGAAAUAGAAGAGAAAAGCCAAAAGAGUAUAAAUGCAGAGACCUACCAAUCGAUAUUCCGCCAACGGAAACUAUUUGAGUGACAGCAAAGAGAAUUUAGAAUCGAAAGGAAUAUGAGAUGGUCAUCCACCACGACUUGAGAGAGAGGGAGAAUAGAAGAUAAUCGACAAUCAAGGACAAGAGAGAGGGUUGAUGGCACAAACAAUAUUCGGCUAACAAUGGAGGAAACGUUUGGCUACCCAAAACCAAAAAUAAGUAAAGGCAAAGUACCAAUGAGGGAGAGAAAGGAAGUUGAUCUAACAAAGAAUGAUUUUGAAGAACAAAAACCCAAUUACCCGAAUGGACGCUAAUGAUACUCGGCUACCAAAACACACAAUACGCAAAAGGAAGAAAAACAUCACAACAAGAGGUAAACGUUUUUGAAAUAAAGAGCAAAAAAUGCACAACCUAUUUCGACACAAGAAUAAAAGUCAUAUGACCAAAUUUGCACCAUCGGAAACCCACUUUCGGCCAACUACUACUACACCCCUAAUUUGAAACACUUAUAAAGUCCUCCAAAUCCUUAUCCCAUGAAUCACUCCCCCAAGACCAAUUCCACACCAAAUCUUUAUCCCAUGAAUCACUCCCCCAAGACCAAUUCCACAACCACCUGAACAGAAUCCCACUAUAACAUAUCCACUAGGCUUCACAACUGCAAAAUAAAACCCCCUUGCUCAUCCCAAGACUUGAACCUCAUACCUCUUCUAACUAUAACACCAUACUGCCACUAGACCACCUACUCUUUUUGUGUCAUCUUUUACCAUAUUUUAUUCUUAAAGCCUACUUACUUACUCCCAGCGUUUUAUUCACCUAAAACCAAAAUUUUUGCUACAGCCCAAGUUUGAACCCCAAGACUUCUCCAAUACUUCUCAGGGCCCUUAACGACUAAAGUAGACGAACUUUUGUAUUAUUCACUUACACAGCUAAAAUAUCUAAGAGUAGUUUCCUAUCCGCUUCCAAGUUCAAGGCCCAAUACUUCUAGGCUCAAAAUUUAGAGCGUUACAUUAAUCCACUCAAGCAGACUGCCGGAGAAGAAUUGGGACCAUCUUAUUUCUAGCACGAUUAAUUUUCAAAUGUCCUUAGCAAUUGGGCAAUCCCUAAUAUCUUAAUUAAGUUGAUGUUGGUAUUGGGAUCGUUGAAGCAAAAUAAGAAUGAUAGUCGUAUACAAUAUUCUGGACAGCAUGUAUUGAAAAGGAUUAUGGGCAUUAUUCCAAUUUCAUGGGAAUGUAUUGGAUGCUUUUAUUCCAGUUAAGAGAAGCAUGGAGGGUAAAUGGUUUGGUUUUGUAAGGUUUGCUAAUCUAGAGGAUGCUCAAAGGGCAAUUUUAAGGCUCGAUGGUUUUGUGAUUUCAGAAAAAAGGGUUUGGGUAAAAAUGGCCAAAUUCAGUGGCAAAAGGAAGGUAUGGAAAAAAGUCCAAGCAAAGAAAGUUUUAAGCCAAAAGGAGGUGUUGUAGUCGAGACGGAUGGAGCAUCAGGAAGAGGAAUGAGAUAAAUCAAAUGGCAGUACGUCAAAUAGAAGGCUAACGUCUGUUGAAAUGGGAAAAAUAGGGAUGCAUAAAUUAAAAUUUGUUAAAAGCCAUGUCGAGAAAGAACAACUAUAGAAGCUUCAACGUUGCUUGGCUGAGGAGACGACUUUUUUUGUAAUGCAUAUAGCUUGUCAGAAAGAAUAGUUAGUUUAGGCCUUAGAGAAUUAAAUGUUCAGAGAAUUCAGGGUAGAGACUUUCUAAUAGAGAUUUCUGACGAUGAGUUUAUGGAGAUUUUAAAGCAAAGAGAUUGGCAUAUCUGAAAGAUUUUUUUAUCAAUAUAGAACCAUGGUCGAAAAAAUUCAAGUUUUGAAAAGACCAGCUUAAAUCGAAGUUGUUGGGAUCCCUCUUCAUUGAUGGAAUUACCAAACAUUUAAGAGAGUGGUUAAUUUAUGGGGUAAGAUAAUUGCUAUGAGUGAAAAGCUAACAAUGGUGAACAGCUUUGAGAAGAUGGAUAUUUGAUUUUUAUAAAGCAAGCUCACAAACUCGAAGAAAUGGUAGUGUAAGAGGUAGGUAAUGAGACAUUUCCAAUCUGUAUAAAAGAAAGAGGUGUGGUGGAAAAAAAUAAAUGAAUUCAAAAAUGAAAUGGGGAUCAAAUGGCAAGAGAAGAAGAUGCAUUAUCGAAAGUGGAAUUGGCAAAUAAAUCGAAGCUGGAACUGUCACCUAAGGGAAAACGAAAUGAUGGGGUUGAAUGAGUUAUUGAGACAGGCCUCGAGAAUGAAAGAAAUAAUAAUAGGGUGCAGGGUAUGUCGGUUGAGGCAUUUAAUGUGGAAGAUAACUUUUUUUGUAAUGUGAUGACUGUUCUUGUAGCAAGAGAGGUAAUUAUUGACAUAUCAGAUCGAGGCCUGGAAGAUUUAAACAAUAUGGGCUUGGCAUUGGCAAUAGGUUUAGAUCAGAAUAAUGAGGUGAAAACUCAAAUAUUGGUGGGUAUUGAUUUGGGCUUAAAUGAGAAAGUUACGUAGUGUCCAGAUAAUGUAGAGAGCCUAAAGUUAAAUAAAAUUUCAUCACAUUUAUUAGAUUCAGAGGGACCAAGGGAUCGGGUUGCAGUAGAUGAAGUAGAAGAGGAAAGUUAUCAAAUAAGACAGAAUAAAAGAAACAAGAAAAUGUUAAACAAAAAGAUUAGAUCUUGUGAAAGAUUCAGGACAUAGUGCUCACAAUGAAGGAGAAGUAGAAGAAGGCAGGGAAGCAAGAAAAUCGAAAGGAAAGAGGGAUUCCAAGAUUGACGAAAACAUAAAAAAUUUAUCCUUAUCAGACUCAAACAUCGGCAACUGAAGGAAAGUUAUCCUUAAAGAAGCGAAGAAAACGUGGGAGAUGGGGAAGAGGCUAGGUUUUAGUGUGCAAGAUGAUGAGGAGAUUUUUAUCGAAGAAAUAAUGAGGGUUGAAAAGAAGCAAUAAGGAGCAUUCAAAGGAAAAGGGUUGGGGGUUUCGAGAUUUUGGUGAGUAGUUGUUUUUCUUUCGGUUUUCCUUUCAAUUGUUUAACUCGGUCAAAAAUAUGCGGAUUGUCACAUGAAACAUUAGAGAGCUGGGUUCGGGUGCUAAAAUUGAUGCAGUUAAUAGAUUAGUGAGAAUGACUAUGGCUAAUGUAUGUUUUCUUUAAUAAACUAAGUUAGAAACAGUGUCAAUAGAUUUAGUUAGAAAGAUUAGGGGUGAUAGCUAUUUUUAUUUUAAAUUAUCUACUACUAUUAAAAGAUCAGGAGAUUAUUAACAAUAUGGGAUAAAGGUUGGUUUUUGAUCGAUGUAGUGUUUUGUGGGAAAAGGUUCAUUGUAGCUGAAGGAAAAUGGGUGCAUGAAGGGAAGAAGGCAGUUCUAAUUAACAUAUAUGCUCCCAACAAUCUUUCAGAUCAAAAAAUUCAUGUGGGAUGAGAUAUUCGAAUUAAGAAAUAUAUUUAGUAAAGCUUGGAUAAUUGGUAGGAAUUUUAAUGUGGUGAGAAAUAGAAGUGAAUGAAUCAAUUGUUCGGGCAUUGAGAGGGGAUCAAAGGAGUUUUGAGAGUUUAUUGAUAUAUGUAAGUUGGUUGAUCUGCAGUUAUUGGGGAAAAAUUUCACUUGGACUAGUCUAGAUAGUAAACAUAGCAAACUUGACAGAUUUUUAAUUGAGGAAGAUUAGCUAGUUUAUUUGACGGAUUUACAACAGUAAGUACUUCAUAGGUCGAUACCGGAUCAUAUUCCAGUCUUGUUAGUAAACGAAUCUUUUGAUUAUGGGCCAAGACCUUUCAAGUUUGUUAAUGCAUGGCUCAAAAAGGAAGACUGUAAGAGAUUAAUUAAAAUGGAAUGGUUGGGAAUUGGUGGUUUAAAAGGGCAAACGGCUGUUAAAUUGCGUACAUUGAAGGGAGCUCUUAAGAAAUGGAAUGUUGAAGCUAGCAAUAUUUUGGAAAAAAGAAUUAUUGAAAGCGAAUAUAGGAUUAAGGAGAUAGAUUAUGUAAGUGAACAAAGAAAGUUGACUGAGCUAGAAAUGGAGGAGUUAAAAAAGUUGAACAUUGAGCUUUGGGAAGCAAUAAAAUUUAAAGAAUCUAUUUGGCAUCAAGAAUCAAGAAUUUCAUUGUUAAAAGAAGGGAAUGCUAACAGUGUUUUUUUCAUAGAGCUGUUAAAAUCAGAGCUAAGUGUAUAGCUUAAAAAUUAAGGGUCAGUGUUACAAGGAACCUAAGGAGAUGAAAGAAGGGUUGUACAAUUUUUUCAAUAAUUAUUUUCAUUGCCCUGCAAGAAGAUGGAAUAUGGACUUACAGAAUGUUAAACAAGGAAAAGACUUUGAAACUGGAGGAACCGUUCUCGUUGGAAGAGAUCGAAGAGGCAGUUUACAGUUGUGAUGAAUCAAAAGCGCUUGGUCGAAAUGGCUUCAACUUGUGUUUUUUUAGAAAUUAUUUGGAAACAGUGAAGAUGGACUGUUUGGAUUGAUUUCUGAUUUUUUUCAUAUAGGGAAAGCUUGAGAAAAAAUCAACUCGUCAUUUAUCACACUUAUUCCGAAGGUGGAAAAUCCAAAUUAAAUUUCAGAUUUUAGGCCAAUUUGUUUGGUGAGUUCUUUGUACAAGAUUGGGGCAAAGGUAUUGUCGCGAAGGUUAAGGGAUAUAGUCGAAAUGGUGGUGAGCAACACACAAUGUGCUUUUAUCAGAGCUAGACAGAUUUUUUAUGGGGUUUUGAUAGCAAAUGGAUUAAUUCAUUCGGUCAAGAAAUGGGGAAGUAGAGGUUAUCUGAUUUUUAAACUUGAUUUUUCUAAACCUUAUGACUGUGCCAGGUGGGAUUUUCUUGACUUGGUGUUAUUUAAGAUGGGGUUUGGAGUGAAAUGGAUAGGCUGGAUUGUGGAAUGCAUUUCUACUACUCGAGCAGCAGUUAUCAUUAAUGGAUCGACGACAAAUGAAUUUAGAUUACACAGAGGUCUUCGUCAGGGAGCUCCACUAUCCCCAUUCUUAAUUAUUUUAGUGACAAAGGUUCUUCAUUUAUCAUUAGAUAAAGCUGUAGAGUUAGGAACAAUUGAAGGCUUUCAGAAUGUCAUUCCUGAUAUGAUUUUUUCUUAUUUACAAUUUACGAAUGAUACAAUUUUAUUCUUGAGAGCUGUUGAUAAUGAGGUGAGCAAUGCGAAGUACAUUUUAAGGUGUUUUGAGAUCUUUUCGGUCCUCAAUCUUAUUUCAAAAAAUCUUGCUUAGUAGGUUUUAAUGUGAAAGAAGAAACAUUAUUCUAAAUGGCAGCUACUUGUAAAUGUAAAAUUGGUUUUUUGCCUAUAAAUUAUUUGAGGAUUCCAUUAGGAGUGAACUGAAAAGAAUUGCCACAUGGGAACCAAUUGUUGACAGAGUUAGAAAAAAUUUAUCUAGUUGGAUGAGUCUUACGUUAUCUUGGGCUGGGAAAGUUGUGCUUAUCAAUAUUAUUUUGUCUUCUUUGUCGAUAUUCUUCAUGUCUUUAUUCAAUGCUCUAGUAACUAUUAUAAAAAAAAUUGACAAGAUUAGGAGGAAUUUCCUUUGGGGGAAUACGAAAGAGAAAAAUAAAAUGGCUAAAGUUGAUUGGAAUAUAGUAUGUAAGGCAAAGGUGAAGGGUAGGGCGGGAGUGGUGAAUUUAGGUGUAAAAAACAAAGCUUUAUUGGCUAAAUGGAGCUGGAGAUUUGUAUUUGAAAAAGAAGCAUUGUGGCGAAAUAUUAUAUUGGCAAAAAAUGGGUCGAAAGUGCAAAGGUGGCACUUUAAACCGACUAAUCCAAAAGAUAUGUCAUCUGUGUGGAGAGGCAGUGUUGAGAACUUUAAAGAUGUUAUAAUGCCUAAAUGGGUGGGGGUGGAAUCUUUCUAUUUACGGAUUGGGAGUGGUAGGACAGUAUUGUUUGGGAUUGACAUUUGGUAUGGUAAUAUGCCAUUAAAACACGGUUUCUAAGACUUUUUCAUCUUACUAGACAUAAGGAAAGUUCAGUAGCUAAUUUUUUUAGAUUUUUAGGGUUGUGUAGAGAUGACUGGAAUGAAUUCUUUACAAGAUCAUUGUUGGGUAGGGAGGAGGUGUGCGCAAAGAAUUGGAAGAGAGGGUGAGUGGCAUGAUGUUGAUUUCAGUUAUGGAGGAUAAGUUGUGUUGGGCUAAUGAUAAAAAUGAGGAGUUUUUGAUUAAAAAAUGUUCUGAAUUAUUGAUUUUGGAUGGAAGGGUGGAUAUAAAUUUUGCUUGUGAUAAAUUCUGGAAACUUAAUGUCCCACCUAGAGUGUGUAGUUUCCUUUGGAUGCUAGCUAUCGACAGAAUUCCUUCUAAGGAAUUUCUGGUCAAAAUAGGGGUGAAUUUGCAUGACAUAUCAGUCAGUUGUCCAUGGUGCGAAAGCGAGCUAGAGAAAACAUCCCACUUGUUCUUCAAAUGUAAAUAUAUUGAAGGUUUUAAGGACUUCUUCGCAUUAUGCAAUAAAGUGAAAAUGGUCAGAAUUAGGAAAAGUUUUUGGUUUAUAUUAAUUUCGGCGGCUUAUUGGACUAUUUGGCUAGCAAGAAAUGGGUUUGGUUCUGAAAGUAAGAGGGUGUCUAUGGAAAUUUUAAUUUUUCAAUCAAAGAUGAGGGCUCCGUUGUGGAUUAAUCUAUUUAUAAUGAAGUUAUGUUGCAGGAUAAUUUUUACUGGAUUUGUCUGAACAAGUGUAGGAUUGAUACUAUUAUAUCUAAUUCUACUGUAUCUUUUUGGUAGCCCCCUCCUCAUGGAUGGUUAAAGUUUAAUGUAUGUGGAGUUGCAAAAGAAGAUAGAGUUGGUUAUGGUGGUGUAUUAAGAGAUAAGGAGGGUGUCGCAAGAGCAUUAUUUUCUAGUUAUGUGGCAGCUAAUGACACUGAUAUGGUUGAGACUGGUGCGAUUAAGGUGGCUCUGGAAGUAUUUUUAGCUAUGAAUUGGAAGAUUAAUGAUUCCUUGUUUAUUGAACUUGGUUCUUUGGUGGUGUUUUCUUGGUGUGUUAACAAGGAAAUGAGACCAUGGUCUCUUCAAGCAAUUUUUGCUGGUAUUCAUAGAGACAUGUUAAAGGCUAGAAAUUUUGUAUUUUCUGUGGCCGAUGAGAAAGAUAACGAAUUGGCAUCUUCCUUGGUAAUUACAGGUUUUAAUAGGGAGAAUAUGUUUAAAGUUUGGUGGUGAGUUUUUUUGUAUUGUUGUAAUCAUUGGUUUAGUUGCGAUGGAAUGCGUUCUUAAUCUUGUAUGUUUUAAUUCUGAACUUUGUUUUUGUUCUGUUUGUCUUUGACAAUAGUAUAGCUUGAAUGAAGCAAAAAAAAAAAGGGCAAUCCCUAAGGAUAUGUAAAAUGUCUUAUGUCUCAUAAUAUCAUAUUGGGCAUACUUUAGUUUGGUUGAUUCCUCUUUUAACUCGUACAAGGUUAGUAAGCAGGUGUUGUUUGUAAACCAACCAUAAGAAAAAUCAAACACAUUGUGGUCCUUGGAAUUUCCAAAGUUCUUCCAUUUACUAUAUUGCUCCUUCUAUGUGUUUCCUUUUAGCAUUUGGUACGCACUUUUUACUAAUAGUUUCCCAUUAGAUGUGUGAGUCUAAAAAAUUUUGUCAGGACCGACUAGAGGAUGUGGGGGAGGGAUGAUUGUAAUCUUCUGAAUCAUAUCUUCUGUCAGCCAGUUCCUAAAAGCAUAAAUGUCCCAAGAGCCCUCUUCUGUAACCAUGUCUUUAACUAAACAUUGUGAGACUAAUCCUUCUGUUGGUGAUGCAUGUGCUUUAACCUCUGUCAUUCGAUAUUUUGAUCUUAAGAGUUGUACCCACAAAGUGUCCUUUUUAGAAACAAAAUUGAAUCUUAAUUUUAAAAGGAAAGAGAUAUUUUGAUCUUUUACUAAGGCCAUUUUCUGAUUUCCUACAUUGGAUCCCUAAAUAAAUUUUCUCGCCAAUCAUUCAAUUUCUUCGCACACUCCUUUUGGAAUUUGCAUGGAUUGCAUGAAGUAAUUUGGAAUGGAGAGGGGAACAGAUUGGGCCAAUGUGAGCCUUCCUGCAAUCAAGAAUUGCUUGACAUCCCAACUACAUAGUUUAGCUCUAACUUUGUCAAUAACAAACUCCAAUGUAGCUUUAGCAAUUCGACUAUGUAAAAGUGGGAUUCCUAAGUAGGACCCCAGCUCUUGGACUUUCUAGAAAUUGAGAAGUCCGCUUAUUCUAUUGCUCAUAGUAUCAUUCACUCCUCUUGAAAAGAAAAUAUUAGUUUUACGUGUGUUAACCCGGUCCUGAUCUGGAUUGCCGCAUUAGGCUCCAUGCCCCUGUAUUAACAGCUAUUUGGAAACUAUGACCUAGCCACUCCAUACAAAGCACAAAGAGGUAAGGUGAUAAGGGACAUCAUUGCCUAAUUCCUCUUGAUAGUUGGAAUUUUUUUAGUGGAGACCCCAUUCCACAAAAUCUGCAUGGUAGAUGUUAAAAUGGCUGACAUAAUGCCUGCAACCUGAAUAGAUCUAUCAAUAAAGUCCCAUCGAACCUUGUUGUAUGCUUUCUCCAUAUCAAUUUUGAUUGUCAUCCAUUUUUUGCUCUUUCCUCGCAUAGAGUGCAUAACUUCCUAAGCAAUGAUAAUGUUAUCAAAAAUUAUUGUCCUGCAAUGAACCCCGCCUAUUCCUGUAAGAUGAUUUUCAGAAAAACUAUUUUGAGUUUGUUAGCAAUAACUUUCAUAACUAGCUUAUAGAGAACUAAUCAAAGAUUGAUGGGUCUAAAUUGGGAUAUCUCUUCAAGUUGAGCUAUUUUUGGGAUGAGCACAAUAAAUGUAUUAUUUAAAUCAGGCUCUAUGGGAUUUCCCCUGAAUACACCUUUAACCCAUUCACAAACUGUACUUCCAAUAUUGUAUUAUUUAAAUAGAUUAAAAUCGUAAUCAAACCAAGAAUAAAUUAUCAAUUCAAUAUUGAAAAAUAAAUAUGAUAUGAUAUGAUAUGAUAUGAUAUGAUAUGAUAUGAUAUGAUAUGAUAUGAUAUAAUAUAAUAUAAUAUAAUAUAUAUUCAUUUAAUAUGUCGCCUUUAAGAAUAUAAAUCUUUCAUUUGAUCAUAUCUAUGUUGUUGAAAGAAGAACUAUAUAUUAUUAUAAAUAUCAAGAGAGAGAUGAGAAAUAUUAGAUCUUUCAACAAUAUGACAAUUUUUUGGUAAGUCUCGUGGAAGCCUUUAUAUUAGGAGUUAGAUUGUAUUUUGUUCUUUCUAUUAAAAAAAUGAGUAGAUUAGUUUUUAUACGUUAAACCAAAGAGAAAAUUGAUUCUUCUAUUAAAAAUUCAUCCAUUUUUACCAUUAAAAGCUAGUUCUCGUACAUUAACAUGAGGUAAACAUUGCACACGGGCAAAAUCAAAAAAAAAUUUUAGAGGGGGCCAAAAUUAAAUUAUAAUUUUUAUAAUAAUAAAAAUGAAAUUUUACCAUUUUAAUAGCCUAUAUCUUUAUAAAUUUUAAAGGAUUAAAUCAAUUUUUGUCAUUUUUAAGGGGGUUAAAGUGCAAUUUUACCUUUGCUAAAUAGAAAAUUAACCAUUUUAAGGGGUUGGGGCCCUACUGGCCCCCUAGCUACGCCGCUGACAUUGUCACUAUCUAAUUAUCUUGUCAAUGACGCUAAUUUUGAACAAUACAAAUGUAUGCUUUUUUUAGCACAAAGGAUUUGCGUGCUUAUUGAUUUAACAUACAAUGACUAAGUUGUUUGUUAUUUUAAAAAUAUAAUAUAAUUUAACUCUUAACAAAAAGACCUCCAUAAUACUUUUACCCAUUUUCUUAUUGCAUGCGUAUAUGGAUGCUUGACUUACUAUAAUAUGGGAAGAUACUUGGAACAAGGUGCACUUUGGGGAUUUCAAAGGGAAAAAAAGGUGACAAAAUUGAAAAUUUCAACCAUAAAGAAAGCAAUUAAUAGAUGUGGAAUGUCUCUAUUUUAAAAGUUGAAAGCUUUAGUUAAGAAGUUUGAGGAUCAAAUUCAUAGAAUUUGUAAAUGUGAAGGGUUAAAUUUAUUAAAUUAUUUAGAAUUAGGAUCCAAUUGAUAGAAUACUUAAGUACUGAGGACUAAAUGUGUUAUUAUACCAAUUACAAAACGAAUUCUCGUUAUCAAUUUAAUGAUGGAUGACCAGAAUAGGAACAAAUCCCAAUAUUAAUGCCUAAAUUGAAAUUUUUUAAAGGUAGGUGACCAAAACAGGAAUGCGGGCAUAGUUGAGUGAUCAUUCGUAUAAUUUACCCUAAAUUAAAUUAUGAUGUUUUCAAAUUUUAUGCAAUAAAUAUAUUAUCACAUGUAUAAUACACCUUCAGCUUGCUAUUCCCACAUAAUACUUGUAAAAAAAAGUCAUGUCAUUUUAAUUAAUGAUUUAAUAGUUACUAUUUAAGUGUUAGGACUAAAAUUUUAAAUUCGAAAAAAUAUAAAAGAUAAAAUGAUCAAAUUUUUACAACUUGCACAUGAUAUAGAAUUAAUAGCAAAAUUUGACCUAACAAAUUUAAUUAUUGUCAUUUAAAUAUUGAGAUUUUCAAAAUUUUAAAAUAUAAAAAUUAAAAGAAAUUAGAAUAUAAAUUCUAAAUUCAAAGCUUAACCAUAGUAGGAGAAUUUGACAUACUAUUAUUUUUUUAAUCAUUUUCUCUCUCACCUUCUAAGAAGAUAACUCUUUGAUUUGAUCAUUUCCAUGCUGUUAUAAUAGAAAAUGCUAUAAAUUAAACAUUAAAAUUGUAUACAUAUGGAAUAUUAAAUCUUUGAAUAAUUCAUGCAUACGUGCUCUGAAUGUUGGAAGUAAAAUUAAAAAAAUAGUUGCGUGUUUUUUUAUAAGUAACUAUAUAAAAUUAAAAAAUUAUGAUGUGUUUCUUUUAUAAAUAAUUAUAUGAAAUUAAAAAAAAUCGAUAAUCAACAUGUAUUGUAGGUAAGCUAUAUAUAUAUAUAUAUAUAUAAGUGUCUACCUUUUAAGUUUAAAAUUACGUUGCCAAUAAGUUUAAUGGUGUCCCCUCCUGGCUUUAACCAUCCUUUGUAUUUGUGCCCAUCUAACACACUUCUUGUCUUACACCAGUUACUGGAAUUGGAAAAUUACAGUGUUAGUGCAAAUCAAUAAAAAAAAUUGCAUUUCUAAUAAACUAGGAUUCUUUUAUGGAUCUUGCAAGAAAGAGUAACGCAAUACACCACCAUUAUAGUCAAUUUUAGACCAUUAAAUAUAGUAUUCUUGCAAGAAAGAGUAACGCAAUACACCACCAUUACAGUCAAUUUUAGACCAUAAAUAUAGUAUUUCUAUUUAUGCUUAUUUUAAUCAAAGAAUUUGUCAAACUAUUAACUUCUCGCAAGAUAUGAGUAAUUUUAACAUAGCAGUCAAGGUAAUAUAAUCAUCAAUGACUUUAAAAUCCGAGCAUCAGGUAUCUUUCGAGUUGCUUCAACCGAUCAUGAUACCUAAAUGGAAAUGGGACAAGUCACAAUGAAUUUUGUAUCUGGUUUACCGUUGACACCGAGCAAGAAAGAUGUUUUUUGGGUUGUAAUGGAUAGAUUGACUAAAUCGGCACAUUUUCUUCCAGUUCGAACAGAUUAUCCACUUGAUAAGCUAGAUGAGUUAUAUGUUUCACAGAAUGUGAGGUUGCAUGGUGUACCUAUUUCUAUAGUUUAGGACAAAGACCCGAGAUUCACAUCGCGGUUUUGGAAGAAACUGUAAGAUGCUUUGGGAAUGAAACUACACUUCAGCAAAGCUUUUCACCCACAAACAGAUGGUCAGUCCGAACAAAUCAUUCAGAUACUCGAGGAUACGUUGAGAUGUUGCAUUCUCGAGUUUGAAUGUACAUGGGAACGAUAUUUGCCUUUGAUUGAAUUUGCAUAUAAUAAUAGCUUUCAGUCUAGCAUCAAAAUGGUACCCUACGAGGCUUUAUACGGUCGUAAAUAUCGUACACCAUUGUAUUGGACCGAGCUUAGCGAGAAUAAGAUACACGAGGUUGAUUUGAUUAAAGAAACUGAGCAAAAAGUGAAAGUGAUUCGGGAUAGUUUGAAAGCAGCAUCGGAUUGUCAAAAGUCAUAUGCAGAUUUGAAAAGAAAAGAUAUAGAGUUUCAAAUUGGAGACAAAGUAUUUUUGAAAGUUUUGCAGUGGAAGAAAAUAGUCAGAUUCGGUCGUAAAGGCAAAUUGAGUUCGAGGUUCAUUGGACCUUAUGAGAUUAUAGAGCGUAUCGGGCCGGUUGCUUAUAGAUUGUUGUUGCCACCUGAGCUAGAAAAGAUUCACAAAGUAUUCCAUGUUUCGAUGCUUCGUAGAAACCAAUCAGAUCCUUUACAUGUGAUUAGUCUGUCAGAGGUUGAGAUUAAAUCUGAUAUGUCAUAUGAGGAAGAACCAAUUCGUAUUUUGGCUCGUAAAGUUAAAGAGUUACGAAACAAAAGAAUUUCGCUAGUUAAAGUACUGUGGCAUAAACACGGAGGUGAAGAAGCAACUUGGGAACCAGAGGAUACAAUGAAAGAAAGUUAUCCAAACUUAUUCACCGGUAAGAUUUUCGGGGACGAAAAUCCCUAAGGGAGGGAGAGUUAUAACAGCCUGAUUUUGACCCUAAUUGGACAAGGUGGUUUCGGGACAACAAAUUCGAGUCUAAAAAAUAUUUUAAAAUUAUUUAUGGUAUUUUCAGUAUGUGAAUUACUAUGUGUGAAAAUUUCCUAUAAAAAGUUGAUCGUUUGAGUGCUCAAUUUGAUAAAAAGGGUUUAAUCGCGUAAAAUGAAAACUUAGGGAUUUAAUUUAAAAGCAUAUAUUUGUUGUUGUCUUUUUAAUUAGGAGGCUUAAAAGUGCAAUUAAACUACUAUAUAGAUAGUGGAUGGUUAUGGACAAGACUAACCUUAAUGUUUAUAUAUUAUAUAUUUAGUAAGUAAGGUUAAUUAAGUAAAUAGCCUUAUAUUAUAUUAUAGGUUAAUUAAAAUACAUAAAAUUAAGCUAUCAUCUUCUCCAAGCCAAAAUUGAGAAAAGAAAAGAGAGAAACAUCCAAGCUACGGUUCAGCCAUUAGGAAGCUGGAUUUAAGGUUCGUUUUUGUUCAGUUUUUGAAAAUUUUUUACGUUUUUGAGAUCGUUGCUUUGUGUACUACAAGACCCAUGCUUUAAUUUAGAAUUUGGUGUUGAUUUUGUGUUAUGCCAUUGAUGAAUGCUUGGGCUUUUUGUUAGUUAAUUAUGAAAUAUGAAAGAUAUGUGAAAGAUUAACAUGUUUUGUCUUUGAAUUGGUGGUGAAAUUGAGUAAUCAGGGCUAAAUUGUGAAAUUUAAUUUUUGAGGGACUAAAAUGUGAAAUAAAUAAAAUGUAUGGACUUGUAUGAGAACUAGAAACAAUCGGCCCUUGUAUAGUGUGGACAAAUUUUGUGUAUUUGGUGUUUUAUGCAAUAGGGACUAAAUUGCAAAAAGUGUAAAUGUCAGGCGCAAAAUGGUAAUUUACCCAUUUAUGUGUUUUUGGACUAAAUUGAAUGAAAUAAUAAUUAAACUAGUUCAUUUUGAAUAUAUUUAAGAUCAAGAACCAAAGAAAUUGGAGUUGGAUCGGGGAAAAGCUAAAGUCGUCGACUAAUCGUCCGGUUUCGAUUUUACAUUUUCCGAGGUAAGUCUGUUAGCUAUUUAAUGUUAUUAAAUCAGUAUGUAUGUAUGUAUAUCUAUUGUAUUUUUGUUGAGCUAUAAAUAAAAGUAAUUUGAUUGAAUAAAUUGAAGUAUAAAUGGUAUACAUGUAUAUACAAUGUUCGAAUAUAUAGGUAUAUACUUAUAUAAAUCUUUGAAUUAAGUUAAAGUAUGAAUGGUAUAUAGAUAUAUAUAUAAUGUUCGAAUAUUUAUAUAUUUAUCUAUAUGUAUAUGUUCUUGAAUUUAGUUAAUUGUGUGAGGGUUAUAUAUGUAUACACAAGGUUCGAAUACAUAUAUGUAUAUACAUGUAUAAAUUAUUGGUUUAAUUAAAUGUAUGUAUAUUGUAAUUGUAUAGGUAAUUUCGAAUAAGUAUGUAUAUGUGGGUUGGAAUGUAUAUGAAAAUACUUGAAUAAAUCUUGAAUAUAUUUUAAGGUAUGAAUGCUUAGUAUACAUGUGGAGUUUUGAAUAUGUAUGAAUAUACAUGUAUAUGUUUUUAUAUUGAACUUAGGUAUGAAAUUAAAUAUAUAUAUAUAUGUUAUUUUUGAAUAAGCGUGUAUAUAUACAUGUAAAUUUCUUGUAUUGAAUUUAUUAUGUAAUUAUAUAUGUAUAUAUAUACAUGAAUAAUUAUGAACUUAGAUGAAGACAAGAAUGUGUAUAUAUAUACAUAUAGAUUCGAAUAUAAAUGUAUAUACAUGUAUGAGUUUAUGAUUUUAGCUAAAGAUAUAAAUGUUAAAUACGUGCAUGGGAGUUCGAAUAUAUCUAUAUGUAUGUUAGUAUAUAGGUUCUUGGAUUGAAUUAAAGAUAUAAAAUCUUAUAUUUUUAUAUGUGAGGUUCGAUUAUAUAUAUAUGAUUAUAAAUUUAUAAAUACUUGAAUUGAAUUGAAAGUAUGAUUUGUAAACUCUUUUAUGAUUGAACAUGGACUACAACGAACAUGUGUUUGCUAUUAAGAAUUUUUCGAGGAAUUAUUUUGUGUAUGUGAAAUAAUUUCAGACUUUACGUCGAGCAGGCUUAUUGCCAGUGAAACAAUAUCAGACUUUACGUCUAGCAGACUUAAUGCCAGUGAAAUAAUUUCAGACUUUACGUUUAGCAGGCUUAAUGCCGGUGAAACAAUAUUAGACUUUACGUCUAGCAGGCUUAAUGCCGGUGAAACAUUUCAGACUAUAUGUCUAGCAGGCUAAGUGUCGGUGUACUAAAUCAGGUUUUAAGCCUAGCCGGCUAAGUGCCGGUGAAUCUGUUUAAAGUAUGUGAUUAAGUGCACAGUUAUAUGAUUUUGGUUAUCUUUAAUUGAUGAGCAUAUAUACAUUCGACUAAGUGUGUUUAAUGAAUAUGUACAUAUUCGGUCUAUGCAUUUGUAAAAUUUAUAUACAUGCUUUCGAUUUAUGCAGUUGAUAAAUGUACACGUAUAAAUAUUCGGUAUAUGUAUUUGAUAAGUAUCUACAUAUGCAUUUGAAAUGUAUAUACCUCUGUUUAUAAUUAUUUGAUGGAGAUGAAUGCAUUCGAUCACAUGUAUUAGAUUUGUAUUUGGUUAUAAGUUUAUUAUGAGUAAACAUACACAGUCGGAUAUGAUAUGUGUAUAACAUACAUAUAUGCUCGGUUAUAUUCAUUUGGUUGUAAUAUUGUUUGGUAUAAAUAUAUAUAUUCAAUUGAACACAUUUCGACAGGUACAUAUAUUUGAAUAUAAAUAAAAUGGUCUGAGUAGAGUAAAUGUAUAAAUAUUAAUUAUAUGUGUUAAUUGCAAUUUCAGUAAAUUAAAUUAAAAAUUUAUAUUAUUCCUAUAUAUAUAUUUAGUUAUGCAAUAGACUUACUAAGCUAUAAAAGCUUAUUUUGUUUAUUUAUGUCUUUCUGUUUUAUAGACUUAAAGAUCAAGCUUCAAGCUCGGGGAUCGUCAGCAAGAUCAUCACUCUAUCUACUGUCUCGGUAUUAAAAUAUUUAAAAUUUUAAUUUAUGGCAUGUACAGGCUAGAUAAUGUUUUGAAGAUCGUACUUCGAUAUAUAGAUUGUAUAUGAGAUUAAUAGCCAUACAAAAGUGGCUUAUUUUUCUUAUGGAUUAGUUGGAUUGUAAUGCCUUUGUUUUGUUUUAAAUGGUCAAAAGAAAAGCUUAGAAUUUUGCAUGUUUAAUAUAAGACCUAGUUUAUCAUAUGUAACUGUUAAAAAUUUUGAACUUUAACGAAUGUAUAUUUUGAGUUGUGUUUCGAUUAGUAAUACCUCUUAACCCUAAUUCAGCAACGGAUACGGGUUAGGAGUGUUACACUAGUGGCUUCAAUCUGCUCCACUACAACUUUAGGAAGAUAAGAUCCGCCAUAAUUUGUAGCUUUAAUAUGUUCCACUGCAACGCCAGGGAAAUAAAAUUCGCUGUCUUCAGUCUACUCCGCUGCAACUUCAGGGAGAUAAGGCUGGUGGCUUCAAUCUGCUCCACUGCAACUUCAGGAAGAUAAGAUCCGCCAUAAUUUGUAGCUUUAUUUUGUUCCACUGCAACGCCAGAGAAAUAAGAUUCGUUGUCUUCAGUCUGCUCCGCUAUAACUUCAGGGAGAUAAGGCUGGUGGCUUCAAUCUGCUCUACUGCAACUUCAGGAAGAUAAGAUUUGCCAUAAUUUGUAGCUUUAAUCUGUUCCACUACAACGCCAGGGAAAUAAGAUUCGCUGUCUUCAGUCUGCUCAACUGCAACUUCAGGGAGAUAAGGCUGGUGGCUUCAAUCUGCUCCACUGCAACUUUAGGAAGAUAAGAUCCACCAUAAUUGGUAGCUUUGAUCUGCUCCACUGCAACGCCAAGGAAAUAAGAUUCGCUGUCUUCAGUCUGCUCCGCUGCAACUUUAAGGAGAUAAGGCUAGUGGCUUCAAUCUGCUCCACUGCAACUUCAGAAUGAUAAGAUCCGCCAUAAUUUCUUCAAUCAAUCCCACUGCAACUUCAACAGUAUAGUAUUUUUGUGGUUUCAAUGAUCUGUUCUCUGGGGAACAUGACCUGCAAAGUCCAUUUCAUAGACCUAUUUAUACCUAGUGAUUAGGAUGUCAUGAUCAGAAUGAAUCAAAUGCUCCUAACCAAAUGUGUAUGAAUGAUGAAUGCUGAAUGUCAUUUUUCAAGAAUUAUCCCUCUUUAAUGCUUAGGUUGUCAUUACUCGUUGUUCAUCAAGAUUCUAUCAUUGACGUAUUACGCUCUAUUCUUGCUCAGCUGGUAUCUUUGACAGAAAACCUAAAGAAAUAGUCACAAUUUAGACUAUUAUUUCCCAAAUGUUUCCAACCCUUAGGUUUGGUUAUUUAUAAAUAAUAGUCAUUGUACAGCCCAAUUUUAGCCUGGGCCAACACCAAAUGAACCCAAACCAAAUCAAAAAUAAAAAAAAUCACCUAAAAGUCCCAUAUGAAAACCCUAAGCCCACAACCUAAAGUUUUCAGAAAAGAAAACCUAAACCCUAAUGCCCCCUUUGCGCCGCUGCCCCCAUAUGCGGUGUCAGCACGCCCACCGCCCGAGGACUGGCCACCUUGCACCAAAAUGGCAAGCUUCAUCUCUGACCCCCAGCCCUGCAAAACGCAACAGCAACAAUAUAGCAGAAACAAACAGUAGCAAAAAAAGAUGCAUUUGGCUAUAUAAGCCCAAAAACCAAACAAAUGUAAGAGUGGAUUUGUAAAAAAAAAAUCGAUUGAAAAAUACAAAAAAAAUAUUGAUGAAUCAAUAAAAAAUCCAAAAUUUGAAGAAAAGGUGUUCUUCUUUCCUCUUUUUCAUUCGGUCUCCUGAUUUAUUUCUUUCUUUUUCAUUUUUUUAAGCAUAUAUAAGAUUAUAUAUAAAAUAAAAUAAAAAGGAAAAGACAAGGAGAAACCUUACCUGAGCCGUCUCCGGACCUAAAUCGGAAAAAAUAGAGGUUAAGGUAUUUCCUCUUCGAUUUUAGGGAUCGAAAACCCAUAUAUUCGGGUCUAUAUCGGAACACGGGCAAAGGGGGUUUCCUCGCACCGCGUCAGUCUUUGGCCGCGGUGGAAAUACGGUGAAUUGCCGUUGAAGUUGCUGCUGGAGUUCGGAGGGUCGAAAUUGGGUGCCCCUUUUUUUAUUUUUUGAAGCUGUUAAAACGAAGCUAGGGUUUCUUUUAGUUUUUUAAAGACUUUCAAAACGGCGCCGUUUGAGGUAAGGCCUUCAGGUAUCAAAACGACACUGUUUAAUGGCCUAUACCCACUCGGUGACCCGACUCGGGGAAGGAUCCGCGCGUUUUGUGCCAUUGGGUAAUUUGCACAUUCGGUCCCUCUUAUUUUGUAGUGUUUUUCAAAUCAGAUUUUAUUUAUUUUGAAUAUUAGCUUACAUUUUUUUUUUAUUUCACUUAGAUCCUGAACAAUGUGCAGCAUUUUGGGGGCGAGGAAAUAUUUCCAAUCUGCCCCCAUAUAAUCCGCAUAUUGCACUAUAACCCCUCGUCUUGUUUAUAAUCCUAUUCUUUUCUUGUUAAUUUAGAUUCAAUUAUGAUUUAAUCCUUUUUUUAACAUUUUUUAAUUAAUUUAUUAACUAUUUUAUUAUUAUUAUUUUAGUGGUACAUUCAGUUAUGUUUUCAUUAUCUUAUUAUAUAUUAUCAUUUUGAAUUUUACUUAUAUUAUUAUUAUAAUUUUGUAAUGUGUUAUUUUAUUAAUUCAACAUAAUAUAUACUUACUUAUUUUUUAUAAACCUUAUAAUUUAUAUAUACAUACAUACAUUUUAUAAUAUAUAUACAUAGACAUGUACAUAUUUUUAUAACUUAUUUAUAUAUAUGUAUAUAUGCAUGCUUAUAUUUCUUUAUAUAUUGUAUAAUUUAUACACACUUAUGUAUCUACAUACAUAUGUUACUUUCAUAAAUAUAUAUAUACCUAUAUAUUCUUUAUAUUUUAAAAUAUACCCCCUUUUUAUAUAUAUAGUUUUUAUAUUUUAUGACUCGUAGAUACAUAUACAUUUUUCGUAUAUUUUACAAUUCAUAUACGUAUAUAUAUAUCCACACAUAUUUUUUAUACUUCAUAAUUUUAAUACACAUAUACAUAUAUUUUUAUAUUUUUAUAAUUUUGUUCAUCUCUUUUAUUUAUUUAUUUAUUUAUUUGUGUUCUAUUAUUACUUUAAAAGAAUAUUUAAAUUUUGUUUGCUUAUACUUUUUAUUUUGCAUGUUAUUAAUUUGCCCCUUUUUAUUCAUUUUUAUUAUUGUUGCUUGUAUUAUUUUUAUACUAUCGCAUUCAAUAUUGCUUUGUACGCAUAUUAACCUUGUGUUUCGUUUCUACUAUUUCAAGUUAGAUUAAUUUAUCUCGACGCAUAAGUUUCGACUUUCAAAUAAGAAAAAUUUCAUGUUUAGAUUCGUGAGGAUUGAGCCCUAAUGUAUUGGGUUCCAAUUUUCUUCGUUGAAUCUAAAUAAUCGAAAACGCUCUUUAAUCAAAAAAUAUAAAUAAAAAGCUCAUUAUCGGGAAUUCAAUAUGUUGUAUCCUAACGCAUUGGAUAUGACACAUUUUCUCGAGAUAAUGAUUUUUCUAAAAACAUAAUAAAGGCAAUAUUCAAUGUUUUGAAUUUUGAGAAAUUGUGCCCUAAUGUAUUGGGCCGCAAUUUUUUCAUCUGACUUAAACAAUUGAAUAUCCUUUUAAAUUUUAUUGCACAAGUUUUUGGACAAGCUCAUUUUCUAGUAGGUGAAAUACCAUGCCCUAACUCAUUGGGUAUGACAUUUUCUCUCCCCGAAAUGAGAAGGUAUUAACGGCUAAUUUGAUGUAUACAAGUUUUUUAAUACAAUGAUCGUAUUUUAAAAUCUUUUGCACAUCUUCGACACUAAGACAUUAAUUAAUCAACUAGGUACCAAUUUUGGGCGUUACGAGGGUGCUAAUCCUUCCUCGUACGUAAUCGACUCCCGAACCUAUUUUUCUGAAUUUCGCAGACCAAAAGCAUUGUUUUAAUAAAUCUAAACCAUUUAUUAAAAACAACCAUUUUACAAGGUGACCCGAUCACACCUCAUCAAAAAAGAUUGGUGGUGACUCCCACAUUUGUUUUAUUUUCAAAUUCCAAAUCGACCCUGUUUUAUCAAAAAAAUGGUGUCAAUAGUCAUGUUUCAAGUUCUUGUACUAUUUAGAAGCUUCCAGAGUAAUAUGUAGAACUCCUUUUAUGAACGUAUUAUUAGUCUAUUAAUCGUUAUUUCAAUGCAAAAUGCUUGAAAAAGAUCAUAAUGAUGGACAAAACUGAAAUUUAUCAGGAACAAAAUCUAAAAAGAAUGGAUUAAUCAAAGAAAGCAAACAUUGAUGGAAUACAAAAUAGGUGAGAGGAAAAAUAGGUGCCUUAGAUAUCGCAGCCUGAGCUUCUCUAUACGAACUUCUUGAGGACUAUUUUGAGCUUAACAUGUAUUUAGGAGAUCUAGAGUACUUUGUUAAUGCCCCAAGACAUAGCAUCCCCUCUCCUUGUUAAUUCAGGCAUAGCAAGACUACCGCAUGCCCCACCUUCGAUCAAAAUUUGAAUUACUCUUUUCUGGGUUUUCAAAUCAAAACCCCUUUGGUCUCAAGGCGCCCUUUGCGGGUUUUCACCUUGGUCUCUCCUUUUUCUUUUUCUUUUUCUUUUUCUUUUUCUUUUCUUUUUCUCCUUUUUAUUUUUCUUUUUUGUUUUUUUUUUAAAGUGGAGUAUUUUUUGAUUGAAUCUGAAUUCACAAGAUUAGGCAGAUUCUUUGCCAUCUAUCUUGGUCAAUAUCGAUGCUCCUCCAGAGAAGGCCUUCUUUACCACAUAAGGUCUUGCCCAGUUUGGCAUCCAUUUUUUUCUGAAGUCCUUUUGUAUGAUAAGGAUCUUAUUCGAUACCAAGUCCCCCUCAUGGAAUACUCUGGGGCAAACCCUUUUUGUCAUAAGCUAGCAUCAUUCGUUUUGGUACAUUUGACCAUGACGAAUAGCUUUCAACCUCUUUUCUUCAAUCAAGUUAACUUGAUCAUAUCGAGAUUUGAUCCAUUUUGCUUCAUCCAUCUUCAGCUCAGCCGACAUUCGGUACAAAGGAAUCUUGACUUUAAUGGGCAAAAUCACCUCCAUCUAUAAACUAAUGAGAAAGGUGUUGUCCCGGUAGAGGUCCGGACAGAUGUCUGACAGGCAUAGAGGGCGAAUGGUAACUUCUCAUGCCAAUCUUUAUGAGUCUCAAUCAUCUUCCCUACGAUCUUUUUUUUCGCCUAUACUACACCGUUCAUUUUGAGGCGAUAUAGUGUUAAUCUUGAACAUACUGUAAACUUCUGAUAUCAUGUUUUUGUUCAAAUUUAGUGCAUUUUCAGAUAUGAUCCUUUUUGGCAUUCCAUACCGACAUAUGAUUCCUUUUUUCAAAAAUUUACUAACUUUCAAUUUUGUGACAUUGUCAUACGAAGCAACUUCUACCCACUUAGUGAAGUAAUCGACGACCACAAAGAUGAAUCGAUAACUACCAGAAACUUUUGGCAAGAACGGCCCAAUGACAUCCAUGUCCCACAUAGAGAAAAUCCAUGGAUUCCAUUGAUUCUUUGUAAGGUAGGAUUUGUUUCUCAUCUUGUUCUACCAUCUUUAACAAAUCAGGAGAUAAGCUACAGUCUCGAUCAUCUUCAAAGUCCUGAAAUCUCUCUAGAUACAUGUCUCGCUCGAAAGGUGAUUCUGGGUCAGUAGCAGUGUCGCUCAUAUCAUUGAUAUCUGAAGACAUGUUAUAGGGACGAAGGAAAAUCCAAAGAACAAAAGAAUCGAAGAAUAUUUAUCUGUAUAGUAUGAUUAUUAAUGAAAUGGAAACAAUAAAAGAAUAUUUACUCGAAGUGAGACACAAAAAUAUAUUUUUUAUUGAAAUAAAGAUGUUGGAUAUGAGCCUAUUUCACAAAAGGAUUCUUAUUGCUUCUAGGCUUAAAGCAACAAGCGUGUUUUGAACAUUACUCUGAAUCAGCUCUAAAAACUACAGGAAUCUCUUCCACAGUCCAAUUGUUCAGAACACUUCCAGGUACAUAAGGGCGAAUUCCUGAUAAAUUUUCUCUUUCAAUUUCUUCUUCGGAUAUAGCAUUGAUGCUCUAAUUUCCAAUUUCUUCUUCUGGGCCUUUAGUAUUUUCAAAGAAUUCUAGCUUCUUAUUUUCCAUCAGGCAUUGCACCAAGGCUCUGAAUUUAUUGCACUUUUGAAUCUCAUGACCCUAUUCAUCAUGAAACUCACAGUAGUUCCUUGCUUCCCUGAGUUUUUCCUCUAAACCUUGUGCGAUUAAUCUUCAUUCUACCAUCUUCUUCCAAACCUCCCUCAGCAGGGUUUUCACUUCUGCUAUAUUUGUCUUGAUUCUCCUCCUUGCACUCUCGAUUAUCGUGUUUACUCAUUUUUUAGAAUGGUUAGGUAACGGGUUUUCUACACUAGAUGGAUCAUCGAAUUUAACAAUACCCAUUUUGAUGAGUCUUUCAAUUAUCUUUUUAAAAACGGUGCAGUUCUUGAUCGAGUAUCAUGUAAUUCUCGCGUGGUACUCACAUUGGGCGUUUGCAUCGUACCAUUUGGGGUAUGGGGGCUACAUAGGUUUUAGGUAGAAAGAAGAUACUACAUGUGCAUCAAACAAACUUUGGUACAACUCCCCAUACGUGAUUGGGAUAGGUGUGAACCGGAGUUUUUCUGAGUUUGGUCUUGGAUUGGGUUCUUGCCAUAAGGGGAUCUGAUGGCUAGUGGUUGUCGUCCUUGGCUGGCUUACGAUAAUCGAAUUUGAAUAGCCCUUGUUAUACAUAUCCGCAUUAUUCACCUUAUUUUCCCUCUUCCUCAGGGCCUUUAAAGUAUUGGUUUGGGAGCUCCACUCUCGCCUUUUUCGUUUGUAACAAUUUUCAAAUUGUUUUGGGAGCUCCACUCUCUCUUGUUUUGUUUCCGCUAGAUCAUCCAAAUUAAGGACAACAGGAUUGGUUAGAUUAUCCCCUGGGUUAGAACCUGAACCUAUUAGGAAGUUCACCGGUGUCGAGGUACCGGUCUGGUAUUGGGGUCUGAUGUUAACAAACACCCUUUGUGGAUACGCGUUUGGUUGGGCUUGGGUGUUUGUUGGGGUAAAUCUUAGAGGAUAAGAAGGGUCCUCGUUAUCGUCCCCGGAAUUAACCAUAAGGCUCUUUCCUUUUUCUAACCCUCCAGCCAGCGACUGGGUUAACUGGCUCAUAAUAUUUCUUUGAAAUUCUAGCAUCUAACCCAUCAUAUCCUCCUGAAUUUUGGCUAAUUGCUCUUACAUCUAUAUUUGCAUUUGCUCUAAUCUCUUCAACCUUUGGUCCAUUUCUUUAGUUUUUCCUCGUGUAUCGAUAUUCUAGGAUAACUGCCAAGAUUUUAGCGUCCUUUUGUAAGAUUUAGUGCAUAUGAUGCAAUGUAAUGUUAAUGCAUGAAUGUAAUAAAUGUAAUGAAUGCUUACAUUCAUGCAAAAAAGAAUAGGAGUCGAUUCUGAUUCAAUUCUAUUAGAAUAACUUUUCUAGAAAACAAAUCAUUUUACAUAAAACGUAUAUUUAUACAGCCUUACCCUCAUACUCUAGGCGAAGACAUCGGUCCCUUUCUUCAUAUCCGGAUGUUAAGAUCAAAUCUCGCGAACUUUCCAAUGGAUGCCUCUACUAGCUUCUUUUUGCUCGAUCCAGGCUGCAACCCAUUGCUCACUCAUCCUCGUAAUACUCGUAACACUCGUAUCCAUAAAGCUCACUCACCCUUUGUGGAUAGCCGGGACAUUGACGGCUCUAGAAUAAUCUUUGUCAGCUUUAAUCUUCGGGAAACAAAGCAAAGUCAUGUACUCAAUCAUCAAACUAUCACCCUUCCCUCGUUACGUUUUCUCGGACCAUAUUUGGACGACCGCAUUGUCUUCCACUUUAUCAAGAAAUCCAUUUUCCAUGAGAAGCUAUCUAUUUAGCAACUGAAUGUGAAUCAACACAUCUUUUCUAUGAUGAAAAUGCAAUGCAAUCAUAACCAAAAGAAAAGAAAAACACGUCAGUACAAAAACAUAAAUAACAAAAAGAGCACUUAUUUGGAUGAGCACUAGGGGUUCUGUGUGGUUCUACCUAGGGUAGGCUUUUAGGGCUCACUAUAUGUGGUACGGUUCUAAAAUAAGGGUACCUAAACCGACAGAUUCCUCGAUCCUUACCCAUUACAGGCUCAUAUGGAUCGAGCUCAGUUCAAGGGAACAUAUUUCCCUAUGGCUACACGGAGAUGAAGAUCUCAUAAAGACAUAAGUACGGAUGUAUCCCGAAAGCGAUCCACUAUCCUACACGGAGGUGAAGACCUCACAAAGGAAUAGUUUCUCACUCUCACUUAAAAGGGUAAGAUCGACUGAUCAUGCGAUGCAAUGUGUAGAAAGAUACCAAAAGUUAAACCAACACAACAAUUAUAAACCACAAUGAUGAAUAUCGUAAUAAAGUCAGAUGAAAUGCAACGAAAGAAUCGUAUAUUUAAACCAAGUUUUCAAUUUUCGAUAAAAAGAUAAAAAGUAAUCAACUUGUGGCCUGACUCUCUUAUUUUGGAUCCCCAGUGGAGUCGCCAAGCUAUCGAAACUAUUUUUUUUGUAAAAAAGGGUUGACUUUUUUAUUUAAAAACGAAAAUAGAGUUGCCACCAAACCUUUUUAUUUAGGUUUGAUCGGAUCACCUCAUAAUUUAAUCAUUUUAAUAAAAUUUUAAAUUUACUAAAACGAUAAUUUUGUCUACAAAAUCCAGAAAACGGGUUCGGGAGUCGGUUAUGCACAAGGAAGAAUUAGCACCCUCAAUACGCCCAAAAUUGGUACCUAGUUGAUUAAUUAAUGUCUUAAUGUCGAAAAUUAAAAAUUCAAAAAGAAUUUAAAAUACGAUCCCUCUUUAUUAAUGUUAAAAUAUUUUUAAGAAAAAAGCUUGAAUAAAUUGAAACGAAUGUCAAAGACCCUCUCGUCUCGAGAUAACAAAUGUCACAUCCUGUAAGUUAGGACAUAGCAUUUUGAACCCUCGAGAACAAGCUUGCCUUUAGAAAAAAUUUUUAUUUAAAUUUCAUGUAUUUUAAUUUUAAAAGGAUAUUUGGCUAUUUCAGUUUAACGAGAAAAUCAAAACCCUGUAAGUUAGGGUACGAUUUCUCGAAUCUCCAAAACGCGAAAUAUUACCUAUUUUUAAAAGUUUUCUUUUUGAAUUAGAAAGAAAAUUAACGCAAUUUUGAAAAUGAUAUAGGAAUAAAAUGUCAGGCUAAUAAAUGACAAUAAUACGAAUACUAAUAAAACAAUUCAUAAUACAUAUAAUAACGAUAAUCACAUAAUACACUAUGAACAAUCAAUGAAAAAUAAAUAACGAAAUAAAUAAAUAAAUAAUAAUAAUAAUAAAUGGGCAAAUGACCGAAAGAAAAAAAAAUAAAAAUUAAAGAAAUAAUAACAGCAACUAAAUGAAUAAAUUCAACUACACGAGGGACUAAGCUGAAAGCAAACUAAAAUUAACAGGUCAAAUUCUCAAAAAGGAUAAAUAUAACAACUUGGACUGAUUUGAAAAUGACUCCGACAGUGGAAGGACUAGGGAGAUAAAUAACCCAAAAUUGAAAACACGCGGGUUAAGGCUAAACGACGUCAUUUUGGGGCGUUUCAAGCUAUCCCAAAACGGCGCCGUUUUGGGGCGUUUCAAGCCUAAAAUUUUUUUUAAAAAAAUCAUUUUCUGUAUCUCUCACCCUCCCCAUUUCUGGCAUGAGACUCCAGCAAUCGGCCACUGUCUAUCAGCUGGCCACUGGCGUAGCUUCGCUAUGAGCGGUGGUCGGGACCACGCCAAACCACCUUUUUUAACCCCCUUUUUUUAGAUCUGAAGGCGAAGCCUUCCUAAAACAAAAGAGAAGGAGCCUUGACCCUGUUGGUUCGAUUUCAACGCCGAAAAAGGGGCUGCCGACGACGAAACCGGAAGGUGGUUCAGGUGAACCUUUUCUUUUUUCUUUGUAUUUUUGUAUAUAAAAAAAUAAAUAGAAAUGAAUAAAUAGAAACCUAAGAAUAAGAUAAAACAGUAAUAAAAAAAUGAAAAUCUCCUUUUGAAGUCUUAUUUUUUUUUUCUUAUGUUCGUAAAGAAGGGAAGAACAUUACAAACAUCAGAUUAAGGCCUUUAUAGCCGAAAUACAAAAUUCGUUUUUUGUUUUCUUUUCUAUUGUUUGCUUGUGCUUCUUUGUUUUUUUCGUUGUCUUCUCUGCUUGCGUGUUGUUUGCUGUUUUGCAGGUGUCAGACGCGUGGAUGGCCGGUGAUAGGCGAGCCUCGAGCGGCGGCAGCGUGCGGCGCAGGUGGUUCUAACAUGCGGCGCUGGAGGCUUAGGGGGCUAGGGUUUUUUGUUGUGUUUAAGUGUUGGGCUAAUUGGGCUAGGGUUAGUUUUGGGUUAUUGGGUUUUAAUUUGUAUUUGGGCUGCUAAUUUGGGCUUGUUUUAUUUAUUUGGUUUGUUUUAUUUUAGAAUCUGGCCCAGGUCAAAAUUGGCCUAUUACAGUCAAUAUUUUGUAUCAAUCGAUUUGGGUCGGCGCGUACUAAUUAUUUACCGAAAUGGACUGAAAUACACUGAACUGGCCGAAGCACAUCGAAAUUUUAACUGGAACGGAACAUAGACUAAUUGAUACUGAUUUAGGACUGAAACGAUACGUGCCGAUUACCAUAUUGCAACUUUAUAUUCUUAGCUCAUAUAUUAUUGAAUUAUCAGCAAGAAAUCCACCUUUAGUAAUUAUUUAUUAUUUGUAAAAUAAAGAUAUGUAUUAGAAUAAACAUGCGAAUGAUGGAAAUUUUUAACCAAUAUUAUCAACCAACAACUCAUAAAUUAUAAUAUAAAACAGGAGUACAAAUAUUUGAUCUACACACCACAUAAAGAUAGCAUACAUGAUUUAUAUAUCUCGCAUUAAACAUGAGAGAUACAAUGCCACCAGGCUAUGCAUGCAACAUUUAUUGAUAGUACUUAAUUAUAGGAAAACAUAAACGCAUGCAUCCUUGAAGGAAACAUGAUUUUAUUUUACUCACACACGUGCUAUCACACCACACAAGCACACACACAAUGCAAUGAAAUUUUGUGUGUUCAUAGAUUACAUAGGAUCCGGCUUCUUUCUCGGCUCCAGCUUUGUUUCUUCAGUCUCAAAGUGAAUGCUGUAGUAAUUGGAACCAGUGUAAGUGGCACCUUGAACUGCAGUAGUGACAAUGGUCCCAUCAUAAAGAGUGUCGCUUUGCAUGAAAGUGAAGGGAACAUCGCACUUACCUUUGGUUGCAAUGAGGUUAACCGUCACCUUAGUCAUAGCAGGCACAACAAUUUUGUGUACAACGUCUACUAAAGUUUUCGAUUCUUUGGUCUCUUCCCACUUGACAUCUGAGUGAAAUUCACCGGACAUUUCAAUAUUUCCCUGAGAAAUCAAUGGUACGUUGAAUUCCAUUUUAGCUUCCAUUGCUAACUUGAGUGAAAAAUUACUCUUCCAAGUACUAGUCUUGAUAUUUGUAUAUGAAAGCUUUAUGUCCAUAUGGGUGGGUUCUUGGGUAUAGUUACUAGCAAAAUUCUUGGCAAUAAUGAAGGUUGUUUCGUCGUAAACCCUGGAAUUACUAAGAUCAUAUUUGACAUCAUAGAUAUCCCUUGUCAAGACUGGCUCUUCCACCGUUAGCUUGGCUUCUUUGGUGAUGGUUGGGACAGCUGGGCUAAGCCAUUCCACGUGGUCUUGUCCUGUGAGGGUCGUGCAGAAGUUUUUGUUGGCCAGGCUGAUAAGACCUAUAGUCUUAUCGUCAAUUUUGACAGGGCGAAACGUAGUGCCAUCAUUGUUGCUAGGGUCAUCAUAUCCUACCCAA